AAAGGAUGUCGCUUCUGAAAAGGAGGCGGAAAGCCGUAGAAGAGAUAGCAAGGACCAGGUACAGGGCACAUCAGGGACUCUCCCUCGCCUUGGAACCACCUUAGUCUUUUUGGGGAUCAAGAUCUUUGUGACUCUGCAGAACUUAACUUUUCUUAGAGGAUCAGCACGGCACAUUAUUCGGAUUCGGAGGUUUAGGUUUCAAACUUUUGGAGAGACAUAUUUUGUUAGGAAAGCCUUCUAUCGGCGGCGGGAGUCAACCAUCCGAGCGAGAGGUCAGACCAAUAAUCCCAUUCACCCUGGUCCAAUUCGAAUGGAUCUUGUUGAAUGAAUUGAUCCAUUGUUGUAUGCCUUACUUCUUAGUGCAUUUUUUCCUACUCGGACCCGCCGUACUUCCUUUGAGUACUGCUGAGAGAUAUAGUGGAAACAUUUUGUUAUGGUGGAGAGUGGAGAGUGAAAACACCAAUGCCUUUCUACCUAUGUUUUUGGUAUAAUAAUUGGCCAUACCAUCCUACUUAUUUCUUUACUCUGUACUGAGCAAGAAAAAACUGUACUGAUUAGCAAGCAGGAAAACUGUACCAAGAAUCUUACUCGAUCGAGUUCCCUUCUUUUCUCCCUGGGAGCCUACUCCAGUGCCCCAGUAGAGGUAGGCCCAGCCCAGGCUUGUGCAGUUAAGGUUGUUAUACAUGAUCUCAAAACAACAAAUAGGAAUGAAACGGCUAUAGUUCUUAUAUGAACUACUGGGAGGUCCCACUAUCUAAUAUAAAGAGUAGGCCACCUAAAAGAAGGUCUGAUUGAGCACUUUCUUCACCCGAUCUUAUGUCUGCAAGAUAAAGAUCAGACAUCACAUUACUUCCGCUAUUUGCAGAGAUGUCUUUGAAGUUGAAGGCAGGUGCCAAGUAAUAUGCUUACCUCGAUCAUUCAUUACAUAUGAUAUAUCGAGAGUUCAAGAUCAUAACGUAAUUCAUUUAGAGAAUGCCGAUGAGAAAGUAGAUCUGGUUCCGAGAUCUGGAAAACUGUGAAUACAGUUAGUGAAGCUAGACCGGGAAGUGGGGUAUCCCUGGAAAAGAAAGAGGUCUGAAGACUCGAUGGCUAUUAAGCCCAGUGAAUAACCUAAUUCAGAGAGAUAACCCGGUCUUUAGACACUCGCCCUACUUCUAAAGAUAGAUAGAAAAGGUUGGAGAGUCCCAGCUACUGAGGUGGCGUAGUGACAGGUGAGAGCAAUAAUAACAAAAGCAGCGGAAGAUCCUGCAGUAGUAUAUUCGGUUGUUUGCGGUGGAAUAGAAAAAAGCGUCCGGGCCAGUAGAUCCAGAGCAAAUAGGCGUUGACUUAGUUGACAUGUUUUCAUGUCUUCUACAUCUAUAACUAACAAGGAAUUAAUUGCAUUCUUGAAUGCUAUUCCAUUUCCACUCUCUUUGAGAGAGGUUACAAGAAAACCAUCAUAAAAAAUGCCACCUUACUGAACUUGAAUUUCACCCGAGAAUCGGGGGUAAAGGUGACUGAACUACUUUUUGUUAAUUUCUUCUAAUCUCCCAGGCGACCGAGUGCUCCAUGAAUAAUGAGCGCUUGCUGCUCCACCCGCAGCGCUUGUUGCCUCUCCUCCAAACCCUUUAUGCGCUCUCUGGUAGCGCGAAUGCGCGCUUCUAGGCCGAUUCUCACUUCUUCAACAAAAAAAUAAAAUAAGUACUUUCGCCGAGCUCUUAUACUCAAGGAAGAAGAAAAUGGUUUGACAUCGCUCCUGCAAGACAAAGACUUAAUAAAGAAGCGACGGAGAAAGAAAGAAGAAAGAUAAAUAAAAAUCCGCACUUUCUGCAGCAUGAGUUUAAAAGGCUAAAGUAAAAGGAAAGGGCCCUAACACCACCCACUUAUUACACUUCAAAUCCUCAAGGGAAAGAUAAAUCAUCAGAGACUGCGCUCACCAAAGAAAGACGCAGACACAUUCACCACUCAAGGGCAAAGAUCACAGCAGUACUUGCUAAAGUCCCCUAUCCUGAACGUGUGCUAUGUAGAAAGUAGUUAGCUGCUCCUCCUCGCCUAGGAGGGCCAAUUGAUUGACCGAUAGCAUGUGAAUUAGAAAGGCAAGCUAAACAAGCAAGUCAGCCCGUCUGUCUUCAACAAAGAAACUUAAAACGCAGGAACUCCGAUCGGUAAAUGAGCUACCCCUCUUAAGAUUAGGUCUCGCAUUCUUUCAUCGGGCUCUGGGUGAACGGAUCCUUUAAUUGACCUCGGGAACAUGAAGGGGGUAGGACGUAUGUCGAAAGGGACGGAACUCGUUCUGUACGGGAAGAAAAAGUAGCUAUGAAAAAACCCAUGCAUUUAUUUGAUGAUAACUCGAAGACGCUUUCAAGUGAGUGAACCCCUAAGGUAGUUCAGUGAUCUUCGUGAAUGAAACUAGUUCAAUGAACCUAUAACGCCUCCUUUUUCUUUUUUAGAAUUGUUCCAGUCUAAGGCCUAAUCCUUCCCAAAGGAUACAUGGAUGAGGAUCAAGACGGGUAUGCUUAAUGCAACUAUUCUAAGUUUCAGGUCAAUAACAAGGCCCCUUUUUUACUUCUUUUCCAUCCCUGCUUGGACCUGACAUUCAAUUAACAUUAGCAAGCCCUGUCGUCCUAAGUGAGUUAGAAUUCGAAUUAGAAUAAAAUAAGAGGGAGGAUUUUCUUGUGUGACACUAUUUCAAGCCAUAAGAUAGGGAAAUCUUUCCACUAAUUACACGGAUUGGAUUUCAUUUAGUACAACGAGUUCUUGCUCAAGGAAAAAUGUCCUAGGACUGCCUAAACACUUUAUUAGAAAAAAUAGAAAGAAACUCCGUUUUGCUUGUAUGACCGAAAAAAAAGUACUCCUAUUAAAUCGAUCUCUUGCAUCCAAAGUCUCUUUUUGUCGGGAGGCACACAUCUUCGUAAAGGCUGUGGCAUCUAUCGAAUUAUCUUUCUCACCGACUCGAGAAAUUCAAUUCAAGGGAAUCCUUAAUCGAGGCUUAGAUUCCAUUAUCUUAUGUUCAGUUAUAGAGGCUCAUCUUUCAUUGAUAGGAAUGCGGGUAUUUUACCCGCACUUGGCAUUCCAGACUUUUCUUGCACAAGCCAUUCUAAGAGCACCAUUCAAGCCUUAGCCUUUUCAAAAGUAGGGGAUUUUACAGAAAGGGACAGCAUUCAAAGAAAGAAUAUUUACUAUUGGAAAUCCAAUGCUUUCCCGAUUCCAUGCUUAUGAUUCAAUUUUUCUUGGAGAAACGAAGUCAUUAGACAAGACCUGUCUGCAGAUUCGAUUCCUCCCCCGGCUUCGGCUUAAUUCAAAUAGUAGCUAGGAUAGGUCUGUCUGUAAAGCCUGACGGUCGAGUAUUGAGGUAGCGGUUUAGUCUUUGGGAGGAAUUCAAUCUCAUGUACGUAUAAUAAAGGAGCGACUGAAAGAGUUAGCAAGGUGGUAAGCUUUUGGUAUAGCACAGCCAAUUACAUUGUGAAAGAAAAGAAUCGAUCGAAGCCAAUCAAGCCAAAUAUAUAUCAUAUACCUCAACCUUUUUUCGCCAUACAGAAGUUUAGUUUUGAGGAGCAGCAAUUCUUCCCGCAUCUAUCAAUUCCUUCAAACAAGCCUUUUUUUGCCUUUUUCCGUAAGCCUAGAAGCAAGUCAAGCUCUUGGUCUGCUGAGAGAAUCUUCCCUCUUCUCUGUUCUAAUAUUCUUUUUGUGCGGUAAGCUCUCCCGGCGCAGGCCUACCACGCUUCGCGCCCGCGGCGUUUUCGCCAGACGGUCUUUGGCCAGUAGUGCCAUCCUCCCCGCUGGCUGUAUGGGCGGGUUGUCCCUCGCUGCUGCGUUCUGUUAGGCUAUAGAUUAUAGUUUAAUAGAUUUACAUGUUCUAGUGGAUCUAAAGUAGGUUUGUGUUCAGCAACAGAAAGAGGUGAGGUUCUGCUUUCUUACCCGAAAAUAUUGAUAAGGGGGAAGUCUCGAAAGGCAUACGAGUGCGCCUUUCGUAGACAGUGCGAAAAACAAGACACUCAGUUCUCCUUCCGCCCCGCUUUUGGCAUUAAAUUAAGAAGGAGCCGUCGGUAUAUGUAGGACUUUCAGCCUUCAAGAAAAAUGGCACUAGCUGGCUCGCCCCGGUCAAGAUCCGAACAACAAGGAGCACCCAACUACUAGACUAGACUAGUAGUUGUUUUUUUUCUAUUAGUUGCGAUGCGAACAGGCGUUUACUAAUGAGAUUAGUUGAGUAGGCUUGCGUUAGUUGUCUGCUACAAGAUAGCUAGUUUUGGGGGUUCAUUUCCAGCAUAGCCCUAUCGUCUUAAUCAGGUGAACUCCUUUUUGCUUUAGUUCUUGUACCAGCUCAAGAAGCAAGGAAUUUGAUUUCCCGGAGCAAAGACUGAUUUUUCUUUCUUGCUUGAGCGAGCUUAUGCUUUUGCAUCGGAUAAUAAGGUGUAAGUGAGUUUCUUUCCUUCUGGCACCUACAACGUCAUGAUCACAUUGGUUUACCCUUUUUUCUUUGGUAGUUCAACGGACGGUCGCCCCUCCAACAAGAAAAGGUAUAAAUAAAGGUUACAAAAUGAACAACUUAUCAAUCCUCGUAGUCGAACCUUGUUUUUGUGGAAUAUGUACCCAGCCAUGUAUCAUGGACUCGUCGCUCAGCUUUAGGCCUUAUUAGCUUCAUUUCUGAAAUGAGCAUGAAGUCCGAAUUGAAUAGAUACUGAGAAAGCGUCUUUCGUGAUGAAAGUUGCAAGUGAGGAUUCAUGAUUGAGAAAGAAAUCAGUAGAACUGGAACUUGAUAACGAACCAGGAAAGAGAACCUGGCCAAAGGAUUUUUUUUACAAUGUAUAUGUCUUAGUUGACAAAGCUGUUUACGUAAUAGGCUGCUGGCUAGAAACAUAGGAAUUUGGAAUGUUGAGAUGACUGGUACGUUUAUCGAUCUGUGGAUCUCCUUCAAUCAAAAAAUGAGCUACAUGAUUGGCCGUCACUGUUGUAUAGGAGGUUGCCCCUAUCCGGUGAAAGAAUAUAUUACCACAAGGAUGAACUCAUGUUCAUUUGAUGCUUUUGGAUUGAUUGGCCCGAUGACGUCGAGGCCCAAUCACGAGAUAAUAAAGGAAAAGAAAGGAACGUUAGAUUGGUUCGAAUCCAAUUCGUUGUGAGAUAACAGGAAUCUGAAACUAAGAAUGCCAAUAAUCUACUCCUUGACUCCGAUUCAUUCAAAACUUAUUGUGAGAAGACUCAGAAAAGACUUCUAAAAUAGUUCACAUUCAAACAUAGAACAUACGUAAAUUAGUCUUUUCUUCUUUCGAUGGGCCCUUACUCCGUCCCACACAGUGUAUUACUCCACUGAAUCAUCUUUCUUUGCUUGGAAUUCCUGUGUUCAGCCCGCAGCUGAAGCAGAGAACCGCACAUCUUCCUUGGGAAUCACUUCGGCUUAAACACGGCUACGCUUCGCUCUUUUUAACUAUCGUUAGUCUGUAGUCUGUGAAAAAAGAUUGCAAUUUCUUGAUCUUUUAUUUAAGAAUUCUUGUACAUAUCCGAGCCGCAGGAACAUGUACAUACGGAAUACGAGAAUUUCCACCUUGUUGAAGAUCUAGUGGUGCUACCCGAAGACUUAAAUAAAUAGCCAUCGCUCUUAAGAACAACCGAGAUCCAAUGAGAAUUUUCACGUAGCUUCUGGUCUUUGACAAAGCAAGACGCAUUUUUUAGACAUAGUGAUCCAUACUCUCUGUCGGGGGACCUAGGCUUGUGGCACUCCCUAUCUCUUAAAGGCUUUCAUAAUCAAUAUCUUUUUCUUCUCAGGCACAGUUGCUUUCCUUGAUUUAGGCACAGUGUCUUCGACAAAUCGUUGUCUCAGUAUCUGUCUCAUCUCUGGUCCUGUGGGUUAGUAACCUUAGUCCAGUGUAUCAGAAAGCACAUCUGUCUUUCUGAGACAUAAGGAGUUAGACUCUGCCGUGAUAUAUGAGCAAGGUCAAAGCAUAAAAACCAAAACACGUGUGGUUUCUGAACCCAUCGAGAUGACCCAAGAAUUUCGCUAUUUUGAUUUUGCCCAUGAUAAUAAAGAAAGCUUUCUUGUAAUUCUGCUUCUUGCUCUAAAAAUGGAGAAAGACUUGUCGAAAAUCUCCGGUUGGGUUGGUCCAACCAAAAAAGGCAUGGGAGUCUUUGGGCAUUGCUUGGACUGAGUUAAGUAAAGAACUGGUUACCUACUAUACGAUACGAUAUUUUUUUUGAUGAAAAGAACGUAGGCUCAAGCCAAAGUUAACCAUUGCAUUGAGACCAGUUCGCUAAGUAUAAGUAGAGUUGACCCUUCGCCGCGUAGACCUAUUAUUCUCUCCAGAGAUCGGAGUAGUCGUGCUUGAAAGCUCAAGUUGGGAUCGAUCGUUGAAGAGAGAUUCAAUGGAAGCUGAGAAGCGGCUGGAACUAGCGGUUUCCAAAAACCCGCGGACUUCAACUCGAGCCUUUUUAAAAUUAAAAGAUCUCUGCUUCGUAAGUAAGGGAGAAUUCUUGUACAUGUCGAUAGAAGGGAAAGAUCAAACCUUGGGAAAGAUAAGAAUUCUUGUAUGUCUAACAAGGGGCUAUCAAGCUUCUCACUAAAGGUGCUCAUCAAUACCUAUUCUUCUUGGUUGUUCCCGACUAGCUGAACCCGAAGAGUGAGUUAGAAGGACCGCUAUCAACUUAUUCAGAAUUCCUUUUGGGAGAUUCCUCAUUUAAGGAGCUUACAACUGUUUUCUGUUCCUUAAGCGGAAGAAGGGAUUUCUUUCUGGCUGUCCUAACAAGGCAAAUAGCCUAAGGAUGGGACUGCUUCCUGCUUGAGAAUCAGCUGUUCGGGAUUACGUUGAUUGACCUAAGGAUGGGAUAGGAAUGAAUGAUGGCAGCCAAUUCCCUUAUAAAAAAAAGGAAAAGGCCUUUACAGACCAGUAACAGCUUAAACGCCACUAUUCCUUUAUUAACUUCAUAGUCUUUUUUUGCACGAGCACGAAAGUUACUGGUUUUCAAGGUAAAAAUGGUUAAGUAAAAAGAUCAAGCUGGAAAAGAUAAAGAUAAAGGUUUGUUCAAGUCUGACUCUUGUUGCUAUUAUUUUUUUAUUGUGUAUCCAUUGCCACUUGGAAAAUUCACACUUAUAAGAAGGAUUUGACCCAACCCGAGAACGGACCUUGGUGGUGGCAUUUCCAUGAUAGCUUUAAUCUUAGCUGGGUCAACUUCUAUACCCCUUUGACUAACCAUAAACCCAAGCAGCUUAUCGGUUGUCACUCCGAAUACGCAUUUCUGUGGAUUCAGCCUUAUCUUAUAUUCCCGGAUUCUCUCAACUUGACAGGAGAUAGACACAGGCGGUAGAGAGAGAAAGGCAGCCCUCGUUAUAGCUAUAUAACAUUGGGGGGAGGGGUUGUUAUAUUCCAAUCCAGGUGGAGUAAAUCCACUCUAUGUUCACUAAUCGAAAUUCCUCCAACCCAACUUUAGGAGACAUUUCAUUCACUACUUAAAAAUCGGAAAAGGACCAAACUGUUUAGCAGCUAUCCUUUGAUGAAAGCGUAGAGGCUCUGUCGGAGAUGGAACAACUUCUUCUCUUCACUCUUUUUGAUUAGAGCAUCUCAGAUCGUAUUCCAAUCACCUUAGUGAGUCUCCUAGGUGCGAAGCCAUUCUUUAGGUGCCUAGCUUUUUAACAGCAGCAAAUCGGCAUAUCGCUAUUUCUAUUCUUAUCUUAGGCAUCCUGACAUUCCAGGUCUUUCCCAUCCCGAAAUUCCUUCUUCUUGAUAGCAUAGGGGCGCAGCGGUAAAUACCGAGGAAAGAAGAUAAGAAAAUAGUUUUUAUCCCAGGCCACGGUAGUAAGUUUUCUGUGGAGGAAGGAAGCCAGGGUGUGUAUCCGCCUUGAUGCAGGAUAUUUUUUAGGUGGGUUGGUCAAUCCAUUUUUUCCAUUGGAGAGGUACUUAGCAGCGAAAUAUGAGCACCAUGGCUUUUUCUUUUCCUUUGGAAAUCUCCAUAGCCACUUCAUAAGAAGGGCUGGCUUGGUUAAAUUGAGCAAAUUCUUUCCUAGAGUGCCGGCUAAUGAUACAUGCCAUCCAUCCAUACUGCUACAGGGCUUAGAUGAGAGAUUGGCUUCAUGCCUAUUCUAUUUCCAAGAGGGCCAUCAAAGAGCCUCUUCUGUCCUGCUUUCUGAUUCAAUUCCAUAAAUCUUAUCUGAACUGCGAACUGACUAAGCCAUGCCAUAAGGGUCAUUCUCCAAACUGGACGGGGCCAAGCCUUUAGGUUGUUUAAGUAGGUUGGGUGACAGAUCGGCCAUAGGAGUACUCCGGGAUAUAAACCAGGGCAACUACUGUCGAGCAUACGACGAUGCCGCCGGUUUUCAUUUCAUGGAAGUCCCCGGCAAAGGAGAGGGCUGUUGUGACGUCGAGUUUGCUCUAUUCUCUUAGCUCGGGCUCCUAUCAAGCUUCGCUUCACGCAUGAUAGCGGCAUUAUUGGGGAAGGAGGUCGCUCACUAGUGCGAACUCAGAAGCAGCAGCAGCAUUCUCUUUCGCAUCCCGCCACUCCUGACUUUGAAAAGGAUAUCUCUGACUAGACAGGCAAGCAGACUCACUUCAUUCCUGAAUCAUCAUCGGCUCUAUCUUAUAAAGAAAAUUUCUUGAUUUGUCGAGAAAAAGAAUGAAAAAAGAAUGAGAAGGGGCUUAGACAAGACUUAAAAAAAUAGGUGGCUAGGAGGGGCGGCAGGGCUGCCUUUUCAAUUAAUCUCCGGCCGCUCAGCGCCGCUAUUGAUGCGAGUUGUAAGAGGGUUACCCCUUCCUAGACACAAAUCAAAUGGUAAGCAAGACUUAAACCAAACAUUCCUCAAACGUUCAUACCGUUUUGAGAGAGUGCUGGAGAGUCGCGAGAUUAAUAUUAAAGACUAUAAAGACUCUAUCUAAUUUGUUUUGUCCCGCAUCUUCAACUGCAGCCUUGAAUUGGAAUGGAAAGAAAAGACAAACCCAACUAAAAAGAAAGAAAAGUGCCCCCUUUCUUAGAUAGAAUCUUCCUUAGAAACAGAUACGGGAUUAGACAGAGGAGCCCUUGAUCCUCUUUGAUUAACCAAACACCCUACCACUCACGAAUACUUGCUAGACAACUUACUCUACAAAGACGGCAGACUAUGUCGGGCAAAGAAAGGUGUCUCGCGGUCCUUCAUGACGUGAUUACACUUUAGAGUAAAUCAAGAUGGAUGCCGGACAUUCAAAGAAGGCCCGGCCCCUUCUUCUCGGCAGCAAACGUAGGGCUCUGCUCUGUCUGAGGCUCGUACUGGGCCGGAGCAACGCGUCUGGUCUUGUCGGUCAUUUAAGAUAGGAUGAAAAAUGAAUCCAUCCGACUUCCAUGAAAAGUCUCAUUCAUGUUGAUUGAGGAGUUUCUUACUGACCGCUAAACCUUCUCUACUUUUGAAGAUAGACUGGAAAGCAAACUCAGAGAAUAGCUAAGUGAAAGUCAGAGACUCCCUUUUUUAGGAACUUAGACUACCUAUGCGCUGGUAAACUCCACCUAGACUGAGAUUCAUCAGUUCGAUCAUUUAGUUUGUGUCCUAAGUCCUAUAUCCUACAAGAAUACAAAAUGUACGGAACUAAUGACCAUCCUUGUGCAUUAAAACUUAUGACCAUUUUAUCGUUAAAUGUACGGAACUAAUGGAUUGUCAUUUAGUUUGAAUUAAUCGCCUUGACCAGGAAAUACACUACUAUUUGUCAACAGAAAGAUCAUAAGAAUAGAUUGCUUCCAGAAUGCGCCGAUAGGGAAGGCUCCGAUGCGUCUCAAUUUCUUUCAUCUUUCCCCCCACCCACCGGUCGAAUAAGCAGUGAUUCCUGCUCGGCACUUGCUAUAGAAGAAGCCACAGCUAGCUUUAGUCUAGGCUAGCCCUCGGCCCGAUCAUCCAAUUCGCUCCAACAGACAGGCAUGGUUCUGUAGUCAAAGCAACUUCGUCACUUUCGUGUACCCAUCGGACGAUAGCCCUUUCGAGGGUUCCUUUACCCAUCCGACCCCUUAAACUCGCGAUUUAGAAAAUAAAAUAGACUUAUCGAAAGUAGGAUAAGAAUCAUACACUGGGAAUAGACCGCCGUGAACUCCGGCGAAACACCCCGUACGACCUGCGGAAGGUGAAGGUUGUUGGCUUGCCCGUGGGCCGUGGUAUCUGACGGGACAUUGGCCUCCCUCCCACUAUGGCUUGCUGUACGUUCCUUUAGCUAUAGGCGUGUCCAAUCCUAUAAUAGUCCAUUCCACAUAGUACAAUGAAGCUCGGUGGGGUUUCAUACGAGGGUCCUGCGUACUGUGCCAUCGCCCAACCAGUACAGUAUGGCCAUCCUCCCCUAGACUCUCCCUGUUUACUCGCACAUAGGAAGCGAUACCCGCUCCUUCUGUUUAGGAUUCCUGACCUUACUAAACGCUCCCUUUCACAAAUCAUUCCUUUUAUUUAUGGUUUGGUAAACCUAGAAAGAUUGUUCCAAGAGAGGGUGAAUCUCUUGAGUCUUGUUUAGCGAAGCUUGGACUUCAUUGUAAGACUUUUUUAUAAUAAAUAUCAUUAUAAUAAAAAUCAGUUAAAUAUCCUCUCUCUACCGAUUUACUCAAAUCACAAACAACUAUACAGUGUGUAAAGUGCCAAACCUUCUACUCAGAAAGUGAGGGACAAGUCACAUCGUUACAGUUUACAAUUCACUUUCCCUGGAAAAAGGCAUUACCCCCGCCCAGAAUGAAGCAGCGAACUUGCUUAUCUCAUGUCAACCCGGGCAGAAAAACAACUUGCUUGACACUAAUACGCAAGAGCCGAGGCAGAUGGUAAUUGAAAAAGUGCUUAUAUUGGUGGAUUGUAUAGCAUUACAGACUUGGUUACGCUGUUAGGGUUAGAGAGCAAUGCCACACUUAGGGAUACCUUACAUUUUAAUGGGAUAGUAGUUCCAGCCGGUAAAAAACCAGGAUAAAUUUAAACUUUGCAAGGAACAUUUCAAUAGUUACAAUCAUCCCUCUUUUCAUUGGUCUAUAGUCAAAGAACUAGAGCCGCAAAAGACUCAACAGAUUCAUAAUUAAGCUUGCUCCAGAUUAGCCAACUAGCCCAAGGAUUUUAUUUCAGCUGGCCUAACAAGAAAAGGAUUCCUGGCUACAGAAUUCUUCAGAGAGCUCAAGACAUAAGCAUAAGCAAUUCCAAUAGCUGCUCCUAGAAGCUUUGCUCCUUUCAGACACAAACAUUGUACCCUAAUUAGACACAAGCAAAUACUCAUUCUCUCCAUUCUCGAGGAAGGGAAACUCAUGUCAUCUUUCACAGGUCUGGGGAAUGUACGGUUACAUCAACAGCGGGUGAAUUACUCUCUAAAUCUAUGGCUUAAUAUUUAUUAUAAACAAUAUAUUAUGAAUAAUAUAUUAUAAAAAAAUGAACACAUUUCAAAAUGUGAUAAUAAAUGAGAGGAUUGUUAAAAGAUAUGAGCACAAACAAGGGUUGUUUAAAAAUGAACAGAUAAGCUAACGCACUACUGAUUUUCUGCCUACUAGCAAUGCAACUACUCCUGAGAAAGACUCAAACUGAACUAGUUGAAGCUAAGGGCCUGCCUUCCCAGCUACUGAGGUAAGGGGCAAAGGAUCCACUUGAUUCAUCACUUUAUUUAUAACCAUUAGAUAGAGAGAGAAUCCCACCCGGCCUAGCUAUAGCUAUCGUAAUGCGUCUCAGCGUCCAUCUAGAGUGAAUUGUUCUAACUUGAUUACAGUAAAUAUGAAAUGAUUGGUGGACCAAAAGAUAGCAAUCCGUCUCUCUUCCGUGCCCUAUUUCUUUUCAAAAAUAUGUAGUGGGGAUAAGACAAGACGUCGAUUAAGUCGGCAACUCUUCAUAGUCGAAGUUCCCAUCCUCUUUAGGUUUACGAUAGAUUCAGGUCAAGCCCAGUCAAUGGGGGUAUACCCUCUCCUAGAACAAUCUUUCUAGGUUUACCAAACCAUAAAUAAAAGGAAUGAUUUGUGAAAGGGAGCGUUUAGUAAGGUCAGGAAUCCUAAACAGAAGGAGCGGGUACUGCUUCCUAUGUGCAAGUAAACAGGAAGAGUCUAGGGGAGGAUGGCCAUACUGUACUGGUUGGGCGAUGGCACAGUACGCAGGACCCUCGUAUGAAACCCCACCGAGCUUCCUUGCACUAUGUGGAACGGACUAUUAUAGCAUUGGACACGCCUAUAGCUAAAGGAACGUACAGCGAGCCAUAGCGGGAGGGAGGCCAAUGUCCCGUCAGAUACCACGGCCCACGGGCAAGCCAGCGACCUUCACCUUCCGCAGGUCGUACGGGGUGUUUCGCCGGAGUUCACGGCGGUCUAUUCCCAGCGUAUGAUUCUUAUCCUACUUCCGAUAAGUCUUAUGAAACGAAUUCGGCUGGAGAUAGGCAUUCGGAUUCGUUACUUGGGGCUGAUGAGGAUGAGUUACUUCGGGCUCCUGAGGGUGAGGAAUCCGUUGUUUCGGGAUAAACUUGAUAUGUUAGUUUGGCCUCGGCUUCUUAGGAUGAUGCCUGUGCAAUGUAUGAUCCAUCAGAUUCUUUUUAUUCUAUUCUCGGUGCGUUUUUGGGUUUCAGAGGCCACGGCCCCCCAGCGCUUCAUUUCCUUAUCGAUCUCGAACCAAGUUUCUUUGUUCUCGAUCUUGGCUUUGAACUCAUGGAGAUAAGGGAUUCGCGCCUCUUCGGCCAAGUCCUCCACGUCGGAAAGAAACUUGACCGCGUCGACGAUUUUCUCCAGUUUUUUAUUAUCGUCCAUUCCCGCCGCCCGAGCUAUUUCUUUAGUUUUUUGAAAUAUCUCAUUGUGUAAGCGAUCACAUUUAUGUAUAAUGAGGAUAUUUAUAUAUUAUAUAUUAUUAUCUGAUUCAUAAGAUAAGACAAAAAUCCUUCAACAGGAUAAGAAAUUUGAGAGGAUCGACGAACCUGAGAGAGGGAUCCAGAAUCUGAGGAAGCGUCUGGAAAGAAAGCAACUGGGCUAGACUGCUGAUCUUCUGGAGUAAUCUUCCCUUGGGAAACAUAGUGUAAUCACCGUCGAGAAUAAACAUGCUAUGCCGGGUGACUGGAAUCCUCUGAGGUCAGCUGAACAGACUGACAAUCGGGACUUUCAGUUCUGCCUUAGCUAGGGGGGAGGAGUUGUAGGUAUUGCGCUUAUUCGAUUGCACGGUGGAGACAGCGUUUCUUCUCAUCAUACAACUACCCAGUGGUUUUGGAAUAAGAUAUAGCCUUGUUUUUAUCCUCAUAUGCCUCAGUCAUACAUUGACCACAACCGUCCCAAUGUGAACUCACUUUUACCUAGUACUUUUUUUUAUUAUAAAGAAGAAUUACCGUAUGUCUUGUCAAUUCAAUAGUGUCUGGCUUCUCGGCUGUACUUCUUUGACAGACUAGUCUACGCCUAGCCCACAAGCCUUUCCCACCCUAGGAAAGCGAGCCCAUAAUGAGAGUCAGAUCCCAAUGUACCCCCUCUCUAAAUAGAAAAAUGAACAAGAAGAACGAUCAAGUGGGUAGACCCAUAGGAAGAAACUGACAUCAAUCUUGGGUACAUCAAGAAUGAAAGAAGAAAUAGGGCUUUGACUUUCUCGGGCAUAAGCAAAAAAUAUAUCCACUUGAUCGGUUAUUAUUUUAUAAUAACUCAUAGCUUAUCUCUUUUAACCAUCACAAAUUUUGUCCCUUUCUGUCUAACAUAAUAUACAAUUUUUGUUAUAAACUUUACUUAUUACUAAAUCAUCCAAUUCAUCCAAAAGGAAUCAAUCUAUAUUUUAUCUAAAUAUUAAUAUAAAUAAUAAUACUUUAUAAAAAUAGGAAUAUCAAUCAAAACUCUAAAUCAAUAGCUGCGGGCAGAGAUGACUAAGUGACAUAUGGAAUAUGGCGACGACAACAGCAUGUCGUAGAAGGAGAUAACAGGUGGAGCCAGCGACCCAUUAAGACUAACGUAUCUACAACUACAUCCCCGAGUGGCAGUCAAACGGGGACGUGAAUGCAAGAUGCCAUCGGAAUGAUCGGCCAGACAGAGGCUAGGGCUACUUCCUUCCCACCGCGUCCUUCCUUGUGUGUCGGAGAUAUAAAGCGAGUGCACUGAAAAAAAAUGGGAACUGGGUCGAUCUAUUCUAUGGCGAAGCAUCCGAAGCAUAACUGCACACUCACACGAUCUUUGUCUAGAGAUAGGAGCAUUCGGUGGAACCGGUGAACUACACUUGCUUCUGGAUAGAUGUGUGUGACAGAGGGCUCGUGGUACCUGCUGCCCACCCUUCCUCCUCCGCUUUGAGAACCGUGUGAACGGGGAGUGGGCAGAAGGAAAGGAGGUCUACUUUCUGUUUUGUCGAGCCCUGCUUUGGUCUCUGGUUUGAUGGUUGCACGUGCUAAAAAUCCGGUACAUUCCGUUUUGUUUCCCAUCCUAGUCUUUCGCGACACUUCAAGUUUACUUCUUUUGUUAGGUCUCGACUUCUCCGCUAUGAUCUUCCCAGUAGUUCAUAUAAGAGCUAUAGCCAUUUCAUUCCUGCUUACUAUUUAUUAGGGCUUCCAGCACUAAUUCUUACGUUUAAUCUGGGUCUUAUAGCCACACCACUGUGACCUUCACAGCCUGAUUAAUGUGCUUUAAAAGCGCACCCUUGGUCGAGCUUUCUUUCUGAUUCGUUAUUCGUUAGAGGAUGGUCUAAAGUCCUCCUAGGGGAAAGACAUAAUAAAAGCUUUCUCCCCUUUUGGGAUGAGCUUUUUUAUUCCUAUUUUAGAGACAUCUGCCUCCUGAUUUGCUUGCUUAUAGGCUUCACAGGCUGGUGAGCUGUCGUCCCUGAUAUCAGCUAUUUACGCAAGCUAAAGCUUGUCCUGCUGGGCUGAUAUCGCCACUAUGGUGAAACAAAUCUUUGUCCAUAGGUGGGCAUGAAGGAGCUUACUGAGUCAAGUGGUUUAAGUCCUGAAGACUACGAAAGGUUCAAAGGACCUGCCCUUCUACUUGGUCAAACCACAGGACAAGGAUAGACAAUAUUAAAAAAGGUCUGGGACGAAUCUUGCAAAACGAAGCUUAAAGGCAAAUGGAUCCGGAAGCUAAAAAUAUUAGUUACCUUUUCUCGUGCAAUAAAUUUCUUCGAUAAAAACCUCUUUAAAGCGGGUAGGAGCUCUUUUCCUUUAGUCCACUCUUUAAAAAGAAAAUAUAACUCUUAAAUUAAAAGUAACUAAAUCUAGAGGAUCAAUCUGACAUUUACAAUUCAACUUAUUGAAAACAUUGAAUUGCCUAUAUUGAUGGUCAGAGAUCAAGGGGAAGCUCUUUCUAAAAGUAACCUAGGAGGGAUUUACCAACCGCAUACAAAGAAAGCGUUCUGAAAUCUAUGGAAUGAGGUAAAGGAAGGUCAAUUCUGCCUACCUAAAGGGCAGAAGAACCAGACUCUUGGACUGAGGAAAGAGUAGGAGUUGAGAGAGAAGUCAUGAAAUGAAGAAAAGCCCAAGGUUUUUAUUCCUUCCACAAUAAAAAUGAAAAUACCUUCCCAAUUUCUCAUAACGCCGAGAUCUAAGCCCUUGUCUGGCAGCUAAAAAUUGUUCAAUAAGUGGAAUGCAUUAGCUGUCCGCUCUCAGGUUAAGGAGUAAGGGUCGAAGAAGGGCAAUCACUCAUUCUUAAAACCAGCAUUCUUAAGACCAAAGAGUAGGAGGGGGGAAAGCUCUCCGCCGUUCCUGGUUCUCCUGUAGCUGGAUCCUCCGGAACCACAAGAAUCCUUAGUUAGAAUGGGAUUCCAACUUAGCACCUUUUGAGAUUUUGAGAAGAGUUGCUCUUUGGAGAGCACAGUACGAUGAAAGUUUUUUUUUUCAGUAUGUAGCUUCGCGAGCUAGGAGCGCAUCAUCGGGGCAGGGCGAAAACAAACAUAGGAUCAUCAUCAUGGCCCUUUUCUUAUUUCUUUUGUUUGUGUCUGGUCCGUUCUGUAUUUUUUUAAGGCUUUUUCGGGGGCUGCUGCUCUGGGGCAUCCAAUUCCUCUUCUUUCUUUUGCUGCUGAUCUCACAUCGAGAGUAGCUCCUUCUUGUUCAGGGUUAUCAGAUGAGAGAUCUUCCUCUGAAAACCUCCGACUCUGAGAAAAUCGGUCAAACGAGAGGCUACCCUCGACUCACCUCUCUAUCUAUAAAAACCCCUUCCCAGAAUACCUAUUUAUACUUAUAUACAUAUGUGUAUCAUAUGUAUAUCAUAUGUUAUAAACAUUAUAUCUAUUAAAGAUAUACUUAUAACUACAAAUAUAUGCAUGCAAGAGGCACGCCUUUCUCCGAGCUUCCCUUCAGCUUCGGUUGGUGAUCGACGACCUUCCUUCUUUAUUGAUCUUGAUCGGCGCUCAAUGCCCUUUAUUCGGUGCUAGCUUUCAAGUGGUCUAAGCCCUCUCUUAAUCCAUUCCGUCUGUCGGUGAUCGAGGGUAAGGCCCAUUCCUGUUAUCGUGUAAGUAAGGAGAAUGCUUUCCAUUAGCAGUCCAAGCUGUCAUUUCAAUCGUCUAAUUUUCAUACAAGCCAUCGAGAAGGCCAGCCCGCGCUAUCAGUCCAGUCCCUAUGCCCGUCUUCCUUAAAGUAAGAAAUUAUUAUUUUGAUCUAUGAUUCUAAGUGGUCUUUGGAUUGUAUUCUGGUCAGAGAAGGUGCAUUGCCCUCCCCCUUUGGCCUGAUUUCCUUCUCUCUCUCUAAGUCCAUGGGCUAAGGAGCAUUCAAAAAAUAUUUGUAUUAGUGUGGUUCGCUUUCCCUUGUGACUAUGGUAGGAUGGUUAUAGGUAUCACUAUAUUUGUAAAUAGUGAAAAAAUAUGAAAAAAAAGGAUUUAAGUCAAUUGGUGCAAGCUAGGUAAGCGCUCACGUACUACUAAUAGAGGUAAGACAGGCGUUUACGGGCUAGCUGGGGAAGGUUUAAUGUUUUCUAAUUGGUAACCUUGUGCCAAAGCAUCUAAGGUGGGUAGGGGCCUUGGGGAUAAGUCGUCUACGUCUUUUUUUAUUCCCGUGCUUUAAGUUCUAAGUUCUUGGAUUGGAUCCCCCCGUAAGUACGCAACGAUUUUUGUUUUCUUUUUGAAGGAAUCCAGGGAUCGAGCCAAAACAAAGCAAGACGCGAUUUCCCUUCUCUAUUUUUUAUGGAUCGCGCCUUACGAGAGCGCCGCCGGUCGGGAAUGGCAGAAGGUGCGAGAUCAGAUAGAACCUCGUCGACCCUAAAACUAGAUCCAAAAUUAAAGCUUCCUUACCGAACCAAUUCCUUUAGGCGAUUUACAAGAAGCAAGGGCUUAUAAAAAGAAGCGAGUCCGGAAUAGAGAGGCCUUCGCGUCUUUCAAAUCAAAAGGAGGGGCCCGCGCAAGACUGAUAAACUACUUCUAGCUUCUCAAUUGAGGAAGUGAGUGGUCGAGAGUGCAGAUGUACAAUAAAAAUGGUCGUCCUAGUACAGGGGCCGCUAAUACCGGUGGCUGAGUCAGGUAUUCUUUUAUGCUUUCGAAUGCAUCUUGGCAUGCUUGGUCUCAGACAAACUCCACCUCUUUUUUCAUUAGACGAGAAAAGGGUUGGCACUUGCCUUAUAUAUUGGCGAUAAACUUGAUUAUAUAGGCCAGCCACCCUUGGAUGGAAGCCUCUCAAUUCCUUGAUAUUAGUAGGAGACGGCAUCCCCAGUAUGUCUUUUGUUUUGGCGGAAUACACCUUAAUCCCCUUCUUUCGUACUAUGAAUCCAAGGAAUUUCCCUAACAAUACUCUGAAGAAGCACUUUAUAGGGUUCAUCUUCAGGUUGUGUUGCCUAAGCCUAAGGAAGACUUUUCAUAAAUCUGCCAAGUGGGCGACUCUUUUACGGCUUUUUACGGCUAGGUCAUCCACGUAGCAUUCUACGGUUUUAUGCAAUAUCUCUCUAAAGAUUUGCGUCAUAGACUGUACUUCGUAUCCUGUAUUUUUUAACCCGAAGGGCAUGCCUAUAUAAGGUAAGAGUCAAUGUCGAAAGGGAUGUGGAAUGGGCGAAUCUGUAGAGGUCGUCCGGGUGCUUUUCCUCCCUACCUAAUAAAGCCGACGUUGAGAAGCUUCUGCACCUCUUUCUCUAUCUUUUCCAUGAGUAGAGGGUGGAACCUUCUCUGUGCUUGUUUUAUCGACUUUGCAUCUUACCGAAUUUUGAGCUCAUAGACGGCGACAGAUUUUUUCCCUGGCAUCUCUGCAUAGCGGAAUGCAAACACAUCACGGAACUAUUGGAGAGGUUGGGUAUACUACAUCACUUCUUCAGGAGCAAGGUGGGGCAUUGAUGAAUAUCGGGCGUGGUUCAUUGUCCGUGCCAAAAUGGAUCUGCUUGAAUUCAUCUUCUGUGGGAGGAGCUUUACAUAAUAGGGGGCUCUUUUCUUUCUGACGCUGCACGUGUUAAGGCUUGGAGUUAUUCUUCAAAUUCCUCUACCAUUAGGAAGUCAACUAAUUGACCAUUAAUACUGGAAAUUAGCCUUCGUAAAGUCUUUCUAUCACUCGUAAGGCCGACAUUGAAGACAUAGCCCUAGUUCUCAGGUAGAAUAUAGGGUAUAGGGAUGAUAAGGCAUCUGUCUCCUUGCAGGAAAAAAUAUGAAAUAGUUAUAAUAACCCAUUAUGAAAUAUAUACAAAUAUUCUUUUCAUUGAUAGGAACACACGACCUAAGUAACCUUAAAAUGGGGAUGCCAAUCUUAUACAUAAAAUACCGCUAUCUAAAGUAACAGGGAGCUGCGCUAUAUCAUGGAAGAAGGAGCAAAAAAGCCAGGCAUUAAAAUGAAAGAAUUGAUAAUCUCCCCGAAUUCUUACUUCUCCAUCAAGAAUCCUGUCUUCUUCUCUAUCUCGACGGAAGUAUUUGUUAUAAGCAUAUAAAUAGAGGCACAUAUGUGUAUGACAUAUGAUAUACAUAUCUUUCACGAGCAGCGUCGCUGCUUGAUCGGCGGGGAGGAGCAUCUCAAAGUAUGGGGCAAAGGAUCAAGCGCUUUGACUUUGUCUCCCGGGAUCCACCACAGGUUAGGUUUGAGAGCCGUGUGAUGGGUGACUAUCCAGCAUGGUUCGGAGAGCACUUUUAGUCUUUGUUGGUGAAUGGAAGCCCCCUAUCAAGCAAGAAAGAAGUGGCUCUUCCCACAGCGGAGUCACCAUUGACUCUAUUUAUUAUUAUGGUAAAUCAGUGUAUCAAGAUCCCAAUCUGAGAUCUUAUUUCGGUUCGAUACGUCCACCUACGAGACUCACCUUUGGCUUUCUUCUCGGUAGGUUUAUUAUUAUACAUCGUUUAAAGGGCCUUAUAUUAUAAAGAAAGAAUAAAGAAAGUCAAGAUUGUUCUUGCGGAGAAAAGCCUACUUACUUGCUCUUGCUGCUUUUAAUUUAAGAGCAAGUCGGUCUAGCUUCUUAAUCUUUCACCUUUCAAAGAAGUCGAAAUAGAAAGGGGUAGGAAAGAUCCCGUGUACCUUGUUCAAGUUGUGGAUCUCCUUCAUUAGCUUUGAGUUCAUUGUUGUUCUUCUGGUUCUCCUUUAAAAUAAAAGGGGUCGUGGGGGAAAUGCCCCAGUCCCCCUACAUGCAUUAAGUGACGACGGCUCAAACGAAGCAAACCAUUUCUCAUAAGAGAAUAGAAAAUCACAAGAAAGAUUUGAUCAAAAGUGACUAGAAAAGAGGCAGUCGAGAAGGAAUGAGUGGAAACUAUGUUGAUUGAGUGCAAUUUCUAAAUUAGGAAAGAUUAGACAGAAUCCUACCAAUCUAAAUCAAAGUUUCCAACAGUGAAAGGCUGCCCCUGUCGGCGGGUUGCUUAGGUCCAUGUAGUCCAAAUCUCCGCUUAGGAAAGAAGUCCAAGUUGACUUUUUGUGAAAGGGAAAAUGGCUUUCUGUUAGAGAGUGAUCGAGAGAAAUUUUCAGUUGGGAGCCAGUCUUUUGCAGCUAGGAGACAUUGUUGUUAUGUUUUCCAGUUAUGAGCCAUUAUUGUGUGGUCCCUUUCGAGCGGUUCCUUCUUUUUUUUUCGAUGAUUUAAAGGCGACAGCUCUUUUCACCAAGGAACUGGGGUUUAGAGCUAUAACACAUACGCAAGAAGGUAGAAUGCCUUAAUGGGCAAGUACGCUAAGGAAGGGGAGUCGCUUGCUUGUUUGGUGUGUUUGGAACCGGGUUGUUUAAAGCUACCCUUUCUUGAAGAAAGAGAACCUGGGCCCAGGUCUUGGUGUAUUUUGACAUGAUUCUCAAUACGCUAUCUAAACUAGGAAAGUCAGUAAGGAAAGGUGGGACAAAGAAAGCUCUACUUCGGGUAGCUGGGUGCAUCAACCUCUUUCUUUCACAGGAGAGGGGACAAUACGCUCUUAAGGAGCUUGGGCUAUUCAACCGAUAGGAAUAGGGGCUGUGUAAAGUGCCAAACCUUCUACUCAGAAAGUGAGGGACAAGUCACAUCGUUACAGUUUACAAUUCACUUUCCCUGGAAAAAGGCAUUACCCCCGCCCAGAAUGAACAGAAUGAAGCAGUGAACUUGCUUAUCUCAUGUCAACCUGGGCAGAAAAACAACUUGCUUGACACUAAUACGCAAGAGCCGAGGCAGAUGGUAAUUGAAAAAGUGCUUAUAUUGGUGGAUUGUAUAGCAUUAUAGACUUGGUUACGCUGUUAAGGUUAGAGAGCAAUGCCACACUUAGGGAUACCUUACAUUUUAAUGGGAUAGUAGUUCCAGCCGGUAAAAAACCAAGAUAAAUUUAAACUUUUCAAGGAACAUUUCAAUAGUUACAAUCAUCCGGGAUGAUAUCAGUUCUUCUGCAGCAAAAGGAACAAUUUCAGUACCUAUAUACACAUAUUUCUCCAGAAUACCUAUUUAUACUUAUAAAUGGACGCCCUUCCCCAGAAAGAAAAUAUUGUUUUUGAGGAUCUUUUUUUGACUCAAUCCCACGGCUUUAGGAAAGGAAGAGGGCCGAGAAGAAAGGAUAACUUAGAGCUUCAAGUAGCUUCCCAAUGCUCGAUGCACAAGAGAGGCGUUAGAACUAUUAAGCAGGAAACCUCCGGAUAUAGGGUUGACAUUCUAACGUGAAAACUCUUUUAACCAAUUCUCUUUUUGACCUCUUGACGGAAGAUCUAUCAACACCUUCCUUGAUCCAUUGACUGAUCAAAGAAUUUAUCAAGGAAUACUCAAGGGGAUUUGGAGGACCAGCAAGGCGAGGGGAGUGAAAAGCCUCCAAGCUAGUAAAGGAUUGGUUCUUCAACCGACGCAAAGACCUAGCGCUUUCCCCUUGAACUGGACUUGAUUCCCGCACUUAGCUUAAGAGCUAAACUGCCGAAGUUGUUCAAUGAGUUUUCGGUAUUGUACCGCUACCAAUCGAUCUGCGAUGACAAUGUCGUCACCCAAAAUCGCAUACUUGGUAAAACUUAACUCCCGGGUACACUAACUCCGCCGCAUACCACACCACAAAGUGAUGUGAUAGAAUUUAACUUAUCACCUCGAAUGAAUGGCAUUGAUGUUAUUCAUAGGCUUGUUUGAAGGGAAAAUCCCACAGACGAAAGAGAAAAACCAGUCUUAGCAAUAACCGUUGUUAGAGUUAUAUCAUCAACCCUAGCUAUUUCAUCAGCUACACACGAAUCUCACUCUAUUAAUAUAAUUUAAUUCUCAUACAAACCUUCUUGCAAAGAGAAGAGCUAGCAUCCGUCCAGCGCGCAGGAAAGAGAAGACUGGAAAGCCGGAGUCAGCCAACCGUGGUGAAAAGGCGGCAAGCACAGAUGAGAGGGACAUCACUGAAGAGCUUAACUGACGAGCUAUUUUUUUGAUUAGCGCUUCUGCUCACUAGCUAGAUCAGACUGUCUGUACCUUUGCUACUAAGGAUAGACUGAAUUCAAAUAAGCCUUCACUUUCAAUCCGUUGAAAUGUAUGGGUUAGGAUGACCAGCUUUCGUACAAGAGUUUACCUAGAAAAAGCCUGACUGUGAAACCGACUCGACAAAGAGAGAGGAAAGUCAACCAAGUGUUCAAUCUAUUAAAUAGACUAUUUUUCUUUCAUUAAAGUUUACAGAUAAGUAAGAUAUUGAAAGGGGCAGAACGCUUUCUAAGCUAGACUUUCUCCUUACGUCCUCCGGGGCCUUAUGUUUCAAAAAAGAGUCCCCACUUGUACUGUAUGUACUGAUUGCCUGCCUCAAUGCCUGCUGACUUACUGGUCACUUUAUUAAGUUCCUAGGAACGAACAAGGAAUAUUUUUAGCCGUUCGCUUGUCGUUGGGGCUAUAGUACUUGCAUUUCUGCUGUUAGCAUGGUUUGAUGGCAUAGAAUCAAUAGUAGACACGCACAAAACAGAAGAGAAAGAAGGAAUUGCUAGCUCUUUGAACGACUCCGGUGCUAUACUAUAGAAUCUCUUUCCAGAAGAGGGCUAUUCUAAAGGCCUUGCCUUAUGAAAGAAAGAAAGGAUAAGAGUAGGGGAGCGAAGAGAGUAGGCUACACAUGACAGACUCUGCUCCUAUUUCAAAUGCUGUUCUUGCCGAAAAAGGCUUAUCUGGUCUCAACCUCUUCCGGUCUUAAGUUGCUUACUCCUUUCCAUACGACCCGAGGUACGAAGUGUCUCUUCUGCAUUUGACCUGAGACUGGGAGUUGAACUCUAUUGAUACGGCUAGGAAGAGGAAGGAAAAAAGCAUGUACAGUUUCCUCUUAUUGGUAUAUUUCUUUACUUAUUAUAAGAAAAGUCAUUAUUUUUCUUUAUUUUUCGCUUUGUUCUGUACAUCAUAUACGUCCAUCAUUAGGCGGUACAGUAAAAGAAAAGCAUAAAAGCGUUUUUUGUACCAAAAAAAUAUCUCUAACCAAUCUUUCGGAAGAGGGUCCUCCUCACAACCCUGAAGAGCGUUUCCCAGCGAUUUAAAAAGCCACCGAAUCAACUUCAACCUAUAUAUGAAUUUAUGAAGACCGAAUAUAUAACAUAGAAUGGUCCAUAGAGAUGACAUUUUCACUUUAUUUUAGAACAACCCCCUUCCCGAACCAUUCAUCCCUUUUGGCAUUGACUCUUACCUUAUAUAGGCAUGCCCUUCGGGUUAAAAAAAUGCAGGAUACGAAGUACAGUCUAUGACGCAAAUCUUCAGAGAGAUAUUGCAUAAAACCGUAGAAUGCUACGUGGAUGACCUAGCCGUAAAAAGCCGUAAAAGAGUCGACCACUUGGCAGAUUUACGAAAAGUCUUCCUUAGGCUUAGGCAACACAACCUGAAGAUGAACCCUAUAAAGUGCUUCUUCGGAGUAUUGUCAGGGAAAUUCCUCAGAUUCAUAGUACGAAAGAAAGGGAUUAAGGUGUAUCCCGCGAGAUGAUUCUGGUUAAACCGGGCAUUCCUCAGAGCAAGGAAAGAUCUUUCAAAAAUAGAAUUAAGAGAAAGCGCUAGAACCGAUGUAAGUAAGAUCCGCUACAACUAGAAGUCGAUCUGGUACCUUCCUCCGGGUACUCAACAAAAAAGAGAAUAGGUUGUAGAUCUUAUAUACUUCUUCUCCAUCUUCCCUUCAAAUGGCAUUCUCUUCCUCGGUAAAGUAAAAAGUAAGGAAGUCUUAGAUGCCACAGAACUCUUAGAAGACUGUGUCAUCUUUUAAGCUCUGUCCCUAUGGUUUGCUCAUCUCUCGGUACAGCGAGAUAGUCUAUGAAGGAGAAAAAAUUUCUAGUAAAGAAGAAAAUGAAUUAAGGAAUAAGAUAAGAGAUGAAUGGAUGAAAAGAGGAAGAGGAGCUGCUUUCUCUCUCUUUCUCCUAAGUCCCAGUACAGUAAAGCUUACCCUCGUUCCUUUUCUCUGUACUUUACUUGUAUGCAAUUGAAACUAUCCUUACUUUAUUAACGGGAACUAACUUGACUCGCUAGGGGUAGGGCUGAGGAUCCAGCAUCCCAACCUGAAUUAGAGGGGCGCUCCAAUUCGAAGCGUGGACUACUAAGGAAGGCCCAUUUCCAUAUCGGGUAGAGUCUUCAAUAGUGUUUUGGAAUUCAUCGAUAUGGGAGUACAAAUUUUUCAGGUACUCUAACAGAUAGAGCUUUUUCUGCGGCAUAUUGAGAGCCAUAUAGUCUCCCGCUGGCCCAAUGAAUGAAUGAAAGUCAUUCUUUUAGUAAGCGUAUAUAAGCAGCUGUUUAGUGUAUAAGCAAUUCUUUAGUGGCCGUACCGAAAGGUACGUACGGCGGAGGUUGGUUGAAGAUGAUGUUACGCGGCGUUCAGAACCAGCCUUGAAGUGAAUAAAUUAGAAAGAACGAAGAAGUAAGGAAAUGAGACGACUUUUUCUUGAACUAUAUCAUAAACAGAUCUUCCCCUCCACACCAAUCACGAGUUUUUCUCCAUUCCUCUCGUAUAUCGUCGUAACGCCCUUAAUACUAGGUUUUGAAAAAGACUUUUCAUGUCAUUUCCAUUUAGGUCCGAUUCGGAUCCCUCCGUUGUUUUCAGCAGCCAACUCAGCUCUUUUUUAUGCCAAAAUUUCUUCAGAUGUAGGGGGCCGAUAGGCUGCAUUUAAUUGGGUUUUGGGGGCUGCAAUCUCGGUGCCUCUUUGUUUUGUGCUAUAAUCUCAUUUUGACGGGCCAAGGCUGCCCUAAUUUCCGCCAUUCACUAUCUGUACGACGGAAAGGACUGGAGAUGAAUCGAUCGUAGUCAUUGCGGGUAAUAAAACUAGCCCACGUUGUGAAAGGAAUGAGCUAGCUGAAGCUUCUGACGAUUCUGACUGAGACCUCGGUGAGGAGGCUGAGUCUUUUUUUUACCUCGAAAGGGAGGUCCUCCUUAUGAUGCUACGGUCGGCUGUCCGAAGUGCAUGCAAGGGGUAAAGUCGGAUAGGAUAGGAUUGUGCAUGCCGGGCCCUUCGGGUGUCAUAUUUUGGCCGAGUUUACCGUACCUCUGGCCCUUAUGUUACGCGACCGUAAUAUUUUGUUACGUUCCACCGCUGUUACGCCAGAGAUAAAAGGUUCCACACGAGCUCUCGUUCUGCGGCGUGGUGGCAGGAAUAAAACUGUAUUUUAUAAUAUACAAAAUAAUAGGAUGAUUCCUAAACCUAUGACUCGAUCUGGAGAUCGAAGUAGGGUUACCCUAUGACCUUUAAUUGCAUUUCGUAAGACUAUGGCUUUAGCGGUCAAGUAUUUCUUAGUGACAUAAUCAAGGAUCCAUUCUCCUCCUUUUUGGUAGCCAUGUCGGUAUCCAUACGUAUGAGCACGAGCUUGUUCAAACCUUUCCUUAAUAGAUAUGAGAAUGAUUGGUUUAGGUUGGGUUAGUAAAAAAAAUAGAGACGAUGAUUUCAUAUCGAUGAGUUUAGAGCUACUUUAUCUUUGGAACGCUUUCCUUCCCUUCCCUCUAGUGGGGAAGCAAGCUGGAAUCUAUAAAGAUACUAUACUAAGGUAUAGUGCUGCUACCAGAGAAGGCUGUUUCAUGCUAGGCGUCCAGACCUACUACGCCCGAGCCGCAUCCCCGGCACACUUGCUAUAUCCACUAAGGCUUCAUCCCACUUCAUCCUACCAACUAUACCUGAUAUAAAGUCGUUCUAUAAAAAUUCAAGACAACAAGAAAGCAGGAAAACGAUAGCGAUCGGUUUGAGAGCGUCACUGGGGGGAGGAAAGAAGUAUUUCAAGGACCCGGCUUCGUGGACGAGAAAGAAUAGAAGAAAGGGCAUGCCCGACCCGAGCUACUAGGCCAGGGCCUGAGGAGAGGAACUAUUUCAAGCAAGGAUGCUAUGACCUCAGACUUGAGACCGAUUCAAAGAUAUAGGAAUGAAUGAAUCCAAUGUCAUCUAUACCGUGUUUUUGGGCUGUCAUAAUGUGACAGUUUCGACUUCUGUCGUCUCUAUCUAUUCCGUUUAGGGAAUGGGCUUAUUCAUUCCGAUUUCUGUAAAAUAUACUAUAAACUUUUAUAAAAUAAAGAUGACUUUAUUGAUAUUUCCUACUCGUUAAAAUAAGCGAUACUUAUUCCAUAAUGCCUACUUCCCACUAGGGGUGACAGGAUUUUCCUCUUCAAAUUCCGGAGGCUUUCGAUCUGACAUCAAGACUUGAAAGCUCUCUCUGUGCACUUCUCUUUGCUUGGCGCUAGCUUGAUUCUUUUUCUUUUCUUGAGUUUCGAAAACGGAAAGAACGUAGGAUAGGAUAAGUGAGGAUACGGAAUGAAUGCUCUUCGAUGCUAGCUAGGUAUUUAUGGACGGACACUUACCUUUUUUGACAAAGGGUGGGAAGACUUCGCCUUAGUAUAAUCGGGUAAAUCACUAUUAGGAGAAUAAGGGAGCUUACGAAAAGGGCUAUCAAACGACUGUGACUUUCAAUUGGCCUUGUCUCGCUUAACUCGUCGAGUAAUGAUUAUCCUAGAAGGAAGAUCUGUUCGAAAGGUCUCGCCAAAAAUCCAUUUAAUGAUUAGCUCCUAGCCCCUGUUUCUUGAAUUGGUGGGAAGACUUCGCCUUAGUAUAAUCGGGUAAAUCACUAUUAGGAGAAUAAGGGAGCUUACGAAAAGGGCUAUCUGUAACAGCCCGAUUCUAGGCCUAGUCGGAAUAGUGGUUUCGGGACCACAAAUCCGACGAGGGAAAAUAUGGUUAUUAUUAUAUUUUUAUGAUCUACAAUUUCACGGAAAAUUUUCGUAAAAAUUUCGUUCGAAAAUUUCGACGUUUGGGCACUCAAUUUAGUCAAAAGGACUAAAUUGUAAAUAGUGCAAAAGUUGAGUUCUACAUCUUAGAGGUGUCUAAUUGUUAUGAAAUUUUAAAUUGGAGGUCUUUAUGUGGUAAUUAGACCAUUAGUUAGUUGAUGGACAAAAAUAGACAUAAGAAAUGGGUGAAAUAGAUUUUUUUUAAAUGGGGGCAUUUUAGUCAUUUGGUUAUUAAAUAGAAUUAAAUGGGAAAAAGAUGGCAAAAUAUGCUCAUCUUCUUCAUGGUGAACGAAAUCAGCAAGGGGGAAGCCAUAUUUAGGGUUUUUAAGCUUUCAAGCUCCAUAAUCAAGAAAGACGUGAAGAGUAUAUCAAACGGGGAAAAGAAAAGAUAGGGGAGUAAAGUGCAAAAUUACGAUAUUUUGCACCGAGGUAAGUAAACACGUGACUUAAUGUAUUAUUUUGAUAUUAUUUGAUAUAUGUUGAGAUUUAUUUGAAAUUAAAAUAAAUGUUUGGCCAUAUCCUAAAAAUGUUGUUAAAUCGGGAAAGGUGGUAAAGGGUUGCAAUAUAUGGUUUAUGGGUUGAACACUCGGAAUAAGCCGGAGUAUGUUGUAUAUAAAGGGGUUGCUGUGUGCUGAUUCCCCGAUUCAUUGGUGGUGCUAUGUGCGUGAUCCACCAUAUCUUUGAAAUGUGAAAAGGGGGUUGCUAUGUGCUGAUUCCCCCGAGGGGUUGCUAAGUGCUGAUUCCCCGGUUCAUUGGUGGUGCUAAGUGCGAUAUCCACCAUAUCUUUGAAAUGUGAAAGGGGGUUGCUAUGUGCUGAUUCCCCCGAGGGGUUGCUAAGUGCUGAUUCCCCGAUUCAGCGGUGGUGCUAAGUGCGAGAUCCACCAAUAACGGUUAACAUUCCAAGUGUUCAACGAAAAAGUGUGGAAGAUGAAUAUUUCCAUAUGGUGGAAAAUUUUAUGGGGUAAAUAUUGAGUUGAAUACUAAAUCGACCCAUGUAUGAGAUGGGAGAAAAUAUCAAAAACGCAAAAGGAACGAUUUAAUUAUAAACUGUGUUGAACAACAGCAGUUGGGUAACUUUGAAAAAUCACCAUAAAUGGUGGAAAAUGAAUGGGAAGCUGAAUAAUAUAUGAAAUUGAAGCUGAAUGUGUCUAUUUUCAUAUGAAAGAAAUAGAAUAAGCAAAAGAGUUGUAUUUUUGGAGAUAUCUGAAUUUUACUGAAACAGGGCUAGAUUGAUUUCGAGAUCCCCUGUUCUAACUUUGGAAAAUUACCAAAAAUUUAAAACAAAUAAUUAUGGCAUGAAAUUUAUAUCCCUGGAAUCCUUAUUGAGUAUAUUUUUAUUAGAAACAAGAAAACCCAUUUUUCAAAUUUUGUACAGAGAGUUAAGUAAAUUUUAGUGAGGAAGGGUCAGAACCGUUGGGCAGUGAAACAGGGGAAGGUUUAAUGAAUAAACUGUACUAAUUGGCUGGGUUAAAAAUUCUGAAAUUUUUAUGGUAAAAUGGUAUAUGAGUCUAGUUUCAGGGAAAAUUUACAGAACUCAAUUUGGAGCUCUGUAGCUCCAGAUAAAAAUAAAUUAGCGACUAUGACGCAGAAAAACAGCUUGCUGGAAAUUGCCUAAACAAUAAAGUUAUUCAUGAAUAAGUUUAUAUUUUGGUGUAGUUAUGGGAGUAAUUACUUAUUUAUCAUGUGUUUACUUACUAAGCUAUAUGCUUACUCGAUUUUAUUUUUCUCUUGGUUAUAGUGACUUCCAACAACUCGGAAAUUGGAACGAAGUCAGACAAUCAUCUACACUAUCCUUCACAUUUGGGGUAUUUUACUACUAGUGUUCCGAAAUUUUAUGGCAUGUAUAGACACUUUAUGUAAUGUGGGAUCAUCAUGUAAAUAUAUGUUAUGGUUCCCUUUUAAAUGUAGUGUUUAUUAAUAGUUAAACUAUAUGUGUGUUUAUACAAAUGAAAUUGGUUGGUAUAUUGGAAUGUGUUCUAAAUUUGCAGGAGGUUUAAGCAAAAAUAAGUAGGAAUGCUGUCGAAAAUUUUUAAAAAUUUAGUAAUACCUCAUACUCUGUUCCGGUAAGGAAUACGGGUAAGGGGUGUUACAUUUUAGUGGUAUCAGAGUUACGGUUUAGUCGGUUCUCGGACCAAAAAAAUACGUGUGGAAGUCAGUCUAUACAUGCCAUAAAAUUAUUGUGAUAGUGUGAUGAUUUCUGACAAUUUAAAAUUUUGUUUUAUAUAGUAAAUGGAUCCUGAUCGAAGUGUGGCAGAUGAUGUUGAAAGUAACGUGCCGGCUCUCGCGCAAGGGACCGCGCAGGAAGAGAGUAGACAUGAGACACAUGGACAGGAUGAGGCUCGGGAAGCCUUCCUCCGAAUGAUGAGUGAUUGGUAUAUAGAAUAUGUCCGUGUAAAUCCGAAUGUUCCUCCUCCUCCACCCCCUCCUAUUCCUCAACCGGUCCCCGUAGCUCCACGGAGUGCCGAAUUGGUGAGAUCAAGUAAGCCACCUGUUGAUAGAAUUCGAAAGCAUGGGGCUGAAGAUUUUAGGGCCAAUGUUGAUGAUGAUCCGGAAAAAGCCGAGUUUUGGCUUGAAAAUACUAUUCGGGUAUUUGAUGAAUUAUCUUGCACCCCUGAAGAAUGUUUGAAAUGUGCUGUGUCUUUAUUGAAGGAUUCAGCAUAUCGUUGGUGGAAAACAUUGAUAUCGGUGGUUCCAAAAGAAAGAGUUACUUGGGACUUCUUUCAGGAAGAAUUUAGAAAGAAAUAUGUAAGCCAACGAUUUAUUGAUCAAAAACGCAAAGAGUUUCUCGGGUUGAAACAGGGCCGAAUGUCCAUAGCAGAAUAUGAACGGGAGUUUGUUCGGCUUAGUAAAUAUGCCCAGGAAUGUGUGCCUACGGAGGCUAUUAUGUGUAAAAGAUUUGAAGAGGGGCUAAAUGAAGACAUCAGAUUGCAUGUUGGGAUUUUAGAGUUAAAAGAAUUUGUGGUGUUAGUUGAUCGGGCCUGUAAAGCUGAAGAACUGAGUAGAGAAAAGAGAAGGGCAGAGAUGGAAUCUCGAGAUGUAAGGAAGAGGACAAUGGGCAGAACAUUUCAAUCUCAUUCGAAGAAGUUUAAAGGGAUGGAUCCACGACCAACUGGUUCAGUUGGGUAUUCACGCAGAGACCGAGGGAGGUCGUAUUCUGGAGCUACAACUCGAGCUACCUCUGUAGCAAGUGUGGGCAAUGUAGGAAACACCCGGCCUAAAUUUCAACAGUGUGGCAGGUGACAUAUUGGUGAGUGUUGGGGAUUUAAACGAGCUUGUUUCAGGUGUGGUUCCCAAGAGCAUUAUGUAAGAGAUUGCCCUGAGAGAAGAGAGGAAGAAAAUUUGCCAAGAGCUAGAUCGGGUGAUAUUGUUAGUAGAGGGAGACCGCCGAGAAAUGUGGGAAGCAAAGUCAGUGGUAAAAGUGUGAUGAAAGAUGCAGCUGGAGGAUCAGAAAUUAGAGCGCCUGCCAGGACUUAUGCCAUACGUGCUCGAGAGGAUGCCUCAUCUCCCGAUGUGAUUACUGGUACAUUUUCUCUUCAUGAUAUAGAUGUUAUUGCUUUGAUUGAUCCCGGCUCUACUCAUUCAUAUGUAUGCAUGAAAUUGGUAUCUAGUAAGAAAUUGCCUGUUAAAAACACUGAAUAUGUAGUUAAAGUAUCAAAUCCAUUAGGCAAGUAUGUCUUAGUUGAUAAGAUUUGCAAGAAUUGCCCCCUGAUGAUUCAAGGUCACUGUUUCCUGGCUAAUUUGAUGUUGUUACCAUUUGAUGAGUUCGAUGUUAUUUUGGGGAUGGAUUGGUUGAUAUUGCAUGAUGCCAAGGUGAAUUGUAGACAGAAAAUUCUUGAAUUAAAGUGUGAAAAUGGUGAAAUUCUCCGGAUUGAAACAGAGGAGCCGAAUAAGUUGCCUAUGGUGAUUUCGCACAUGUCUGCUCAGAAAUACUUGAGAAAGGGAUGCGAAGUUUAUCUUGCUUAUGUGUUGAAUACUGAUAUAACUGGGUCGAAGCUUGAAUCAGUGCCGGUAGUCCGUGAAUUUCCAGAUGUAUUUCCAAAGGAAUUGCCUGGGUUACCUCCGACUAGAGAAGUUGAGUUUUCUAUUGAUCUGUUACCUGGUACUGCACCGAUUUCUAUUGCACCGUAUCGAAUGGCUCCGACUGAGUUGAAGGAAUUAAAAGCUCAGUUACAAGAGUUGACAGAUAAAGGAUUUGUGAGACCGAGUUUUUCUCCUUGGGGUGCUCCUGUGUUAUUUGUGAAAAAGAAGGACGGCUCUAUGAGACUUUGUAUUGACUAUCGUCAGCUCAAUAAGGUGACCAUAAAGAACAAGUAUCCUUUGCCGAGAAUUGAUGAUUUGUUUGAUCAAUUAAAAGGGGCAACAGUGUUCUCCAAGAUCGAUCUGAGGUCUGGUUGCUAUCAGUUGAGAGUUAAAGAGUCUGAUGUGCCGAAAACCGCCUUUAGAACGAGUUAUAGACACUAUGAAUUUCUGGUAAUGCCUUUUGGGUUGACUAAUGCUCCAGCUAUUUUUAUGGACUUGAUGAACCGAAUUUUUCGGCUGUACUUAGACAAGUUCGUGGUGGUGUUCAUAGAUGAUAUUUUAAUCUAUUCUCAGGAUGAAUCGGAACAUGCAGAACAUUUGAGAACUGUGUUGCAGAUUCUGAGAGAAAAUAAAUUGUAUGCUAAAUUCAGCAAAAGUGAGUUUUGGCUUCGUGAGGUUGGAUUCUUGGGACAUAUAGUUUCAAGUGAAGGUAUUCGGGUUGAUCCAAGCAAAAUUUCAGCAAUUGCUGAUUGGGAGCCACCAAAGAAUGUGACUGAAGUUAGAAGCUUCCUGGGCUUAGCUGGGUAUUACAGACGGUUUGUCAAGGGAUUCUCGAUGAUUGCUUCUCCUAUGACUAAGUUACUGCAGAAGAAUGUCAAGUUUGAAUGGACCGAUAAAUGUCAACAGAGUUUUGAAAAGUUGAAGGCAUUAUUGACUGAGGCGCCAGUGUUGGUGCAACCUGAGUCCGGGAAGGAAUUUGUAAUUUACAGUGAUGCAUCGUUGAAUGGCCUUGGGUGUGUGUUAAUGCAAGAGGGCAAAGUAAUAGCUUAUGCUUCGAGACAGUUGAAACCGCAUGAGAAGAAUUAUCCGACGCAUGAUUUAGAAUUGGCUGCCAUUGUUUUUGCUUUAAAAAUUUGGCGUCAUUAUUUGUAUGGUGAAAAGUGCCGAGUCUUCACUGAUCAUAAGAGUUUGAAAUAUUUGAUGAGUCAAAAAGACUUGAAUUUGCGGCAACGAAGAUGGCUCGAGCUAAUCAAAGACUAUGAGCUAGUGAUUGAUUAUCACCCCGGGAAAGCUAAUGUGGUUGCUGAUGCCUUGAGCAGAAAAUCUUUAUUUGCUUUGAGAGCUAUGGGUACGAUGUUAACUUUAUCUGAUGAUGGCUCAAUGUUGAUUGAAUUGAGAGCUAGACCGUUAUUUCUUCAGCAAAUUCGGGAAUCUCAAAAGAAUGACAGUAAAUUGCAAGCCAAGAGAGCUCAGUGUGAAGCAGGUGUUGACUCAGAUUUUCAAAUUGGUUCAGAUGAUUGCCUGAUGUUCAGGGACAGAAUAUGUGUACCGAGAAAUGAUGAGCUAAUUCGGACUAUUUUAGGUGAGGCACACAGUGGUGAUUUAUCAGUCCAUCCGGGUAGUGUGAAAAUGUACAAUGAUUUGAGGAAGUUGUAUUGGUGGCCGGGCAUGAAAAAGGAUAUCUCGGAAUUUGUAACAAAAUGUUUAAUCUGUCAACAAGUAAAGGCUGAGCAUCAAGUGCCAUCGGGUUUACUUCAACCGAUAAUGAUUCCAGAAUGGAAGUGGGACAGUAUCACGAUGGAUUUCGUGACAGGAUUGCCUUUAACUCCAAAGAAGAAAGAUGCUAUUUGGGUAAUUGUGGAUAGAUUGACAAAGUCAGCCCAUUUUAUUCCGAUACGCAUUGAUUAUUCACUUGACAGGUUGGCUGAAUUAUAUGUUGCUGAAAUAGUGAGACUACAUGGGGUGCCUAAAUCUAUUAUAUCGGAUAGAGAUCUGAGAUUUACUUCGAGGUUUUGGAUAAAGUUACAGGAAGCUUUGGGUACGAAAUUGAAUUUCAGUACUGCAUUUCAUCCGCAAACUGACGGGCAAUCAGAAAGGGUGAUUCAAGUUCUUGAAGACAUGCUCCGGUGUUGUAUUUUAGAAAUGAAGGACAGUUGGGAGAAAUAUCUACCACUGGUUGAAUUUGCUUAUAAUAAUAGUUAUCAGUCAAGUAUACAAAUGGCACCGUAUGAAGCAUUAUAUGGGCGUAAAUGUAGAACCCCUUUAUAUUGGAUUGAACUCGGUGAGAAUCGGAUUCAUGGAGUCGACCUGGUGAAAGAAACUGAAGAAAAGGUGAAAAUAAUCCGUGAUUGCCUAAAAGCUGCCUCAGAUCGGAAAAAGUCGUAUGCGAUUUAAAGAGAAAAGAAAUUGAGUUUCAAGUGGGUGAUAAAGUGUUCUUGAAAGUAUCCCCAUGGAAGAAGAUUCUGAGAUUUGGUCGUAAAGGCAAACUAAGUCCACGUUUUAUUGGACUAUAUGAAGUUACCGAGAGAGUUGGCCCUGUAGCAUAUUGGUUAGCUUUACCGCCAGAGUUGGAAAAGAUACAUAAUGUAUUUCAUGUGUCGAUGUUGCGACGUUAUCGUUCGGAUCCUUCACAUAUAGUUUCUCCUACAGAGAUUGAGGUUCGACCAGAUAUGACUUAUGAAGAAGAACCCAUAAAGAUUUUGGCUCGGGAGGUCAAACAGUUAAGAAAUAAAAGUGUAGCCUUAGUGAAAGUGUUGUGGCAAAAACAUGGAAUGGAAGAGGCUACGUGGGAACCGGAGGAAAUUAUGAGGAAACAGUACCCAAACCUCUUUUCCGGUAAGAUUUUCGGGGACGAAAAUCCCUAAGGGGGAGAGUUGUAACAGCCCGAUUCUGGGCCUAGUCGGAAUAGUGGUUUCGGGACCACAAAUCCGACGAGGGAAAAUAUGGUUAUUAUUAUAUUUUUAUGAUCUACAAUUUCACGGAAAAUUUUCGUAAAAAUUUCGUUCGAAAAUUUCGACGUUUGGGCACUCAAUUUAGUCAAAAGGACUAAAUUGUAAAUAGUGCAAAAGUUGAGUUCUACAUCUUAGAGGUGUCUAAUUGUUAUGAAAUUUUAAAUUGGAGGUCUUUAUGUGGUAAUUAGACCAUUAGUUAGUUGAUGGACAAAAAUAGACAUAAGAAAUGGGUGAAAUAGAUUUUUUUUAAAUGGGGGCAUUUUAGUCAUUUGGUUAUUAAAUAGAAUUAAAUGGGAAAAAGAUGGCAAAAUAUGCUCAUCUUCUUCAUGGUGAACGAAAUCAGCAAGGGGGAAGCCAUAUUUAGGGUUUUUAAGCUUUCAAGCUCCAUAAUCAAGAAAGACGUGAAGAGUAUAUCAAACGGGGAAAAGAAAAGAUAGGGGAGUAAAGUGCAAAAUUACGAUAUUUUGCACCGAGGUAAGUAAACACGUGACUUAAUGUAUUAUUUUGAUAUUAUUUGAUAUAUGUUGAGAUUUAUUUGAAAUUAAAAUAAAUGUUUGGCCAUAUCCUAAAAAUGUUGUUAAAUCGGGAAAGGUGGUAAAGGGUUGCAAUAUAUGGUUUAUGGGUUGAACACUCGGAAUAAGCCGGAGUAUGUUGUAUAUAAAGGGGUUGCUGUGUGCUGAUUCCCCGAUUCAUUGGUGGUGCUAUGUGCGUGAUCCACCAUAUCUUUGAAAUGUGAAAAGGGGGUUGCUAUGUGCUGAUUCCCCCGAGGGGUUGCUAAGUGCUGAUUCCCCGGUUCAUUGGUGGUGCUAAGUGCGAUAUCCACCAUAUCUUUGAAAUGUGAAAGGGGGUUGCUAUGUGCUGAUUCCCCCGAGGGGUUGCUAAGUGCUGAUUCCCCGAUUCAGCGGUGGUGCUAAGUGCGAGAUCCACCAAUAACGGUUAACAUUCCAAGCGUUCAACGAAAAAGUGUGGAAGAUGAAUAUUUCCAUAUGGUGGAAAAUUUUAUGGGGUAAAUAUUGAGUUGAAUACUAAAUCGACCCAUGUAUGAGAUGGGAGAAAAUAUCAAAAACGCAAAAGGAACGAUUUAAUUAUAAACUGUGUUGAACAACAGCAGUUGGGUAACUUUGAAAAGUCACCAUAAAUGGUGGAAAAUGAAUGGGAAGCUGAAUAAUAUAUGAAAUUGAAGCUGAAUGUGUCUAUUUUCAUAUGAAAGAAAUAGAAUAAGCAAAAGAGUUUUAUUUUUGGAGAUAUCUGAAUUUUACUGAAACAGGGCUGGAUUGAUUUCGAGAUCCCCUGUUCUAACUUUGAAAAAUUACCAAAAAUUGAAAAAAAAUAAUUAUGGCAUGAAAUUUAUAUCCCUGGAAUCCUUAUUGAGUCUAUUUUUAUUAGAAACAAGAAAACCCAUUUUUCAAAUUUUUUACAGAGAGUUAAGUAAAUUUUAGUGAGGAAGGGUCAGAACCGUUGGGCAGUGAAACAGGGGAAGGUUUAAUGAAUAAACUGUACUAAUUGGCUGGGUUAAAAAUUCUGAAAUUUUUAUGGUGAAAUGGUAUAUGAGUCUAGUUUCAGGGAAAAUUUACGGAACUCAAUUUGAAGCUCUGUAGCUCCAGAUAAAAAUAAAUUAGCGACUAUGACGCAGAAAAACAGCUUGCUGGAAAUUGCCUAAACAAUAAAGUUAUUCAUGAAUAAGUUUAUAUUUUGGUGUAGUUAUGGGAGUAAUUACUUAUUUAUCAUGUGUUUACUUACUAAGCUAUAUGCUUACUCGAUUUUAUUUUUCUCUUGGUUAUAGUGACUUCCAACAACUCGGAAAUUGGAACGAAGUCAGACAAUCAUCUACACUAUCCUUCACAUUUGGGGUAUUUUACUACUAGUGUUCCGAAAUUUUAUGGCAUGUAUAGACACUUUAUGUAAUGUGGGAUCAUCAUGUAAAUAUAUGUUAUGGUUCCCUUUUAAAUGUAGUGUUUAUUAAUAGUUAAACUAUAUGUGUGUUUAUACAAAUGAAAUUGGUUGGUAUAUUGGAAUGUGUUCUAAAUUUGCAGGAGGUUUAAGCAAAAAUAAGUAGGAAUGCUGUCGAAAAUUUUUAAAAAUUUAGUAAUACCUCAUACUCUGUUCCGGUAAGGAAUACGGGUAAGGGGUGUUACACUAUCAAACGGCUGUGACUUUCAAUUGGCCUUGUCUCGCUUAACUCGUCGAGUAGUGAUUAUCCCGGAAGGAAGAUCUGUUCGAAAGGUCUCGCCAAAAAUCCGUAUAAUGAUUAGCUCCUAGCCCCCGCUUCUUGAAUUGGUGACCCAUUCCGCAAUAAGACCAGAAACGUUGCCCUUAGAAUUUCCAAAAGGAAAGUUCUGUCCCUUCCAGGAAUCGAAAGGGCCAACAAGUGUCUACUCACGACGGAAUUUUUGUUGAUCCUUCCGAAACUGAAAGACUUGAUAGGAAACUGCGGGUAUUUUACCCUAUUUAAACUAAUUCAUUUUAUAAAAUAGCUUAGUUAAAAAGAAAUAUGUGUUAUUAUAACUAUUUCAUAUUUUUUCCUGCAAGGAGACAUAUGCCUUAUUAUCCCUAUACCCUAUAUUCUACCUGAGAACUAGGGCUAUGUCUUCAAUGUCGGCCUUACAAGUGAUAGAAAGACUUUACGAAGGCUAAUUUCCAGUAUUAAUGGUCAAUUAGUUGACUUCCGACUGCACUCUACACUCUAACUUUCUUUAAUUCCGUUAGAUUGCUUUAGAUGCUUCCUACUUUCAGUAAAGUAAGGACUAUGCUUCUAAGCGGCAUUAACAUCAAAGAGAGGAUUUGGUGGAAGUAGGGAUUUAAGCACAGUUGUGAUUCUGCUUUCAUGUCUUGGAUUGAGGUUUCUCACUCUUUCUAUGCCUCUUCCUUGGAGGACCUUCCCACAACACACACGCGGCGCUAAGGUUCCCGUGGCAACUCAAGCUAAGAUUCAAAGCCAGGAAAAGGUUUUCGAAGAAUUUGACACAGGUUCAGCAAGGACGGGCUUUUCAUCCCAAAGAAGAAGAGCUGAAGUCGAAACCUAAGUCGAAGUUCAAGCUAAAGAAGGUGCCUAAGUUGAAGCUUAAGUCGAUGCCAAAGCCGGUCUGGAAUAGGGAACACCAAUUGAAAGAGCUGCCUUCCCUUACUAAUGUGGGAUCAGUUCCUCUCGAACACCUCCUAGGAGCGUCGCAUUCGAUGCAUCUAGGGUUUUAUUUUAGAGAGGCGCCUUGCGUGUGUGCUAUCUAAACUGAGGUUUUUCCUACCUAGCUCAAUAAUGGAGAGAAUGCCCUUACGGGGUUAUUUCCGUUUAGUCUAAUCCUAUUCUCAUGUGCAAAGGCUUAUCGAUCCCUUUUGAGUCAAAUGUGGCAUUGCACUGACCUGUGCAUAUUCACUCAACCCAAGGCAGGAGAUGACUUUGAUUACCCGUUCCGCACCUGGAUGACUGAAUUUCAUGCUUCAAAGUAGAGUUGAAACCCUAGCACCGAACCCUAGAAGUGAACUAGUAGAAUUAAAAAUAGGCUAAUGAAUCCGCUGCACACUUUCUAUAUCUGUACCUCAUGCCCCCAAUCAUUCGACUGAUAGUAAUAAUGUUAUUAUUAUGCAUAACUAAUAUAGACCUUAUGAAAUAUAUUGACAAAUUUAUGUUAUUAUUAUACAUAAAUAGUGAAGGUAGUCGAUGAGAGGAAUAGGUGGUUUCCAAAGGAGAGAGUUAUUUUAUAUAUGACGCUCUAUCUGUAUUGGAUGGAUGCCGUAGCUGUGGGAUAGAAGGCUUUUCUUUCAAGUCUUCUUUUCUUUGAUCGCCUAAGUCACUACUAACCAUAUCAGCGGAUAUCCUUCAUAGCUCCUUCCUUGCCCCUUUCUACAAACCUUUCUAUAAUAUAAGGGAAGCUCGAAGAGCUUUCUUCGCAUGCUUGAGCCCAUUAAUAAAAUAUUAAUAUCAUAUCGAUCAAGGCUUUCCUUUAGUUUAAUUGCAGCUAGUAAAGUGCCAAACCUUCUACUCAGAAAGUGAGGGACAAGUCACAUCGUUACAGUUUAUAAUUCACUUUCCCUGGAAAAAGGCAUUAGCCCCGCCCAGAAUGAAGCAGCGAACUUGCUUAUCUCAUGUCAGCCCGGGCAGAAAAACAACUUGCUUGACACUAAUACACAAGAGUCGAGGCAGAUGGUAAUUGAAAAAGUGUUUAUAUUGGUGGAUUGUAUAGCAUUACAGACUUGGUUACGCUGUUAGGGUUAGAGAGCAAUGCCACACUUAGGGAUACCUUACAUUUUAAUGGGAUAGUAGUUCCAGCAGGUAAAAAACCAGGAUAAAUUUAAACUUUGCAAGGAACAUUUCAAUAGUUACAACUGAAAGAGAAUCUGAAGCAGGAUCGGAAACAGAAUAAGAUUGAAGAGCGGGGUAAAACCAUUCUCAGAAGGAGCAGGUUUAGCGGAUGGGAAUGGCAUUUUUGAGAAUGCAGUCAAGGCUGAAGGAGCGAAAGAAGCUAACUCGAAUGAAGAAUCUUUCCGAGGAGUGACCCAAAGUAGAAGUUAGAGAAGGAAUUGAUCCUUUCCUGAAGGAUAUAGGACUUAGGACACAAACUAAAUGAUCGUAGUUCACCACACAGGCAUGUUAGUACUAAACUGCAGAAAACUAUUAAGUCAUCCAAUUCAUGCCGCAUUGCGAGAUUACUCUACCACUCUAGAAUUUUUUCUAUUAAGAGAAAAAAAGGAGUGAAAGGCAGGCGAAGGUUGAGUGUUUGGAUCUGAGAAGGAAUCAAUCUGUGUCAGUUAUCUCUUUUUCGCCUGUUCUGGCUAACCCCAUUCCAGUCUAUUAGGCAAGGUCUGUUCAAUUGAGCUUCUAUUAGUCAUUUUAGACAGCUCGGCAAGCAGCUGAACUCUUUUCCUCUUUCUUUUGCUUUGGAUAGAUCUCAAGGGCAAAGUACUCAUUUCGGGCAUGACUCGGAAUAUGAAUAGGGGGCAGGCACUUCAGUCCAGUGCUAUGGGUUCCUCAUUUCCCUAUGGUUGAGCGGUUUGGUUGGCCUGUGAUGAAGAAGAACUUAGAUGAUGACAAUGGAGCUAAAAGAUUUUCGUCUCCAACUCUAAUAAAAAAGACAUUCUCCACGAUAUACUUACCCUUACCUUAAUGUCAAGGCUGACUGAAUUUCAUGCUUUUAAGGCAACCUCGAUUGGAAUUAGGCUUGAACCAGAGGAUCACUGAAACUACCUUUCUAUAUUUACCCAAUUCGAUCCACAAGCUGAAUGCCGUACCUUCCAGAGAGGAGGAUCUGCCAUUGAACUGUUCAAAACCUUUAUUGAAGAAAGAGACUAAGAAAGAGUACAGGACCAAGACCGGAAAGUCACGCUUUGAUCUCCUUUAGCAAGGAAAAAGCUUUCAAACGCGUAUUCGCUGUUGCGAGCCGACUAAACAAGUGGAUUUGAUUCCUUUGCCUUCUGCCUUCCUGCUGACCUAAUACCCAUCAACUAUUAUCCACUGCCGCUUCUUCUUCUCCUCCGAUCAAGACCGAAAGAAGGUUCUUGUAUAGAAGGGUCUGGGCCCUAGUCGCUAGCUCUAUCCCACCCGGCUUGGUCCAUUUGAUCAGUGAGUCUCGCUCUUCGAUCAAAGGAAAUUUUGUCUUGCAUGAAAGAAGGAUCGGGUUAGUGAUCCAAGAUCAUGUCAAGGCUCUUGAGCGUCGCCGGCUUCCACUUUGCUUUGUGAUUAUUGGGGUGCUAUAGUGUCUUUGCCUCCUCUACUGAGAGAAAGUUGUGGGUAGGACCCCUGUUUACGAUGGCCGAGUCUUCUUCCCAUUGAUUCCCACUUUAACGUGGAUGAGCCCCUUUCUCACCGACUUGGGUUUAGAUUUGUUUGGCCAUGGCAUUGAUCAACUGUCUAGAUCUCCCAAUGUGACUCCCUUCCACCGGGCCACUUUGCGGCCUUCGGGGCCUUAACAUCACUCUGAAGUUCCCACCUUUUGUCUUAACCCUAUUAUAGAAGGCCCUAUGAAGUAAAGGGAAGUGCAUUAAUUCUUGGAAAAAGAGGGAGCGAACCUAUAUAAAAAAUGUAAUAAAGUCAAUUCAAUGAAUAGAUAGAGCCAACGGUACAACAAAAAGCGCUGCCUAAACGCGAUUUCGCUUCCAAUAGGGAUAGGCAAAUUAGACUGAUUUAGUGAAGUAUGCCAUGCCAUCAGUAGCAAAGUAGGCAGUUCUCGAAUCAUCUGUGGCACUUGCUCUUAGCCUUGAUCUUUUUCUUUUUUUUUAAUCUGCCUAUUGUUUCAUCAGAUGUGAUUGGAAUGCUUUCCUUGGUUUCAAAGGCUAAAAAAAGCGAGAUGCUUCCAAAAAAUACAGUUUAAUUUCAUUGUUUUCAUCAAGGUCCGUUGUUGUGACUGGAAGAAUUGAUUCAGAAUCGGAUGCCCUAUCUUCCUUCCCCUUCUUCUGAGUGAGGACAUAUCCUAAUGAAUUAGACGACCUCGGAAGGAACCAUUAGAGGAGAAGGGUGGUCGUAGAUCAGGUGAGGAAGGUUAUUGGCCCAAUAUGAAGGAAGACAUUAAAGAUUAUGUGAGUACCUGUUUUACCUGCCUGCAGGACAAGACUGAGAGAUCUCAUCCUGCAGGUCUACUCGAGCCUCUACCAAUCCUGGAGCGACCGUGGGAAAGUCUUUCUGCAGUUCAUAAAUAAUACCACAAUGAAAUAUGAUCGCUUUAAUAUAUUAUCUACUUAUUGCUCUAUUUCAAAAUAAUACCACGUGCAGUUCAAUAUUUAUGUGAGAACUUUUUUAUUUGUUUACAGAUUCUGCCCGUCGAAUAUUUACUCGCAAGAAGAAAGGUACGCAGUCACUCAUGCGAACUUCCAUGUUUACUAUUAAAAAUAAGAUUGAUCCUAAUCAAAUUAGAUCUUCCCUAAAGGAAGCUUGCAAGCAAGGCCUUUCUGUCACUUUUAAGAGUAGUGAGCGAGCUAAAGCCAAGUAGAAUAGUUGGCGUCAAAAGCGGCCUCGGAGCGCAGUCUUAAGGUUGUAGUUGUUGAACGCGCAACCAGAUAGGAUGAAGAUGGUGGGAUGAAACAGUCUUUAAAAAACCAUUGGUAAGGGAAGGCAAAGAAGUAACUGAGGGAAGGGACCUUUACCAUUUUGCUUCUUCCGCUUUUGGGGAUUCCACUAAUAGAACAGAACCCGAGGGGAAUGAAAGGAGUGACCUUCACUCGGAUUAGGGGUUAACCACCUCCUACGGUGGUUGCCAAAGCUCCGAGUCAACCCGAAAUAGGCCAUGGACUUUGAUCUACCAAAUGAUAAGAAUGCCUCUAAGAUUCAAUCAUAAACCACUUUGCCUCGGUUGUAUGUAAACCCCCCUUCACCCCCAUCCCCUAAAGUGGUAAAGAAGGGUUAGGGUCUAAUUUUCUUUCUAUCUGACAGGACAAAGAAAUAGGGAAGGGAUGGUUCUUUCUUUUAAACUAUUUAUGGGUCUACCUAGGAUACGAUACUGGUUGUCGGGUAAGGCUUUCGAACAGGCAACAGGCUUACAGCAGGAAUGAAUAAGUGAGACCAUACGCGAACGGCUGAGCUCAGUCUUCCCUGUAAGAAAAGUAGCGGUCGUGCUAGAGACGGUCUAUUGUGUUUUUCUUGACUCAUCAUUGAUAUUUUGGAAAAGCAAGAAAGAAGAAAGGGGAGCUUAAAGCGGACCAUUUACCCUGCCCUAAGUGCCUUUCUUUCUUCUGGUUCUGUCUGUAAACAGUGUCUUCAUGAACAGUAGAUUCAUCUUUUAGACUUGCUCCCGUAAGCGAUGCAAGAGUAAGCGCUGGUACAUUAACAGCUCUUGGUCUUAGCUCCCUAAAUGUUGUUGAGGAAGCAUCCAAUCCAUUUCCAAUUCACAUGUGUUAAGCAUAGUGACACCAAUCCCUUUGAAUGAAGGAGAUUUUUAUUGCUGCUAGCUAGGGAUUGGGGUAGGGGAUAAUAUAUAUAAAUGUAUAAAUCCCCAGAUCCAUCAUUCAUUCAUUCCCUCACUCACGUUUUCUCAAGGUAUCAGAGCGGAGUUUGGGGUAAAUCCCUUUCGAUUUCUGCUAAUUCUCUUCUUGUUGCACUAUGCCCAAGCUUGACGAUAGCAGUGGAGCGCUGUCUGCGGCGGUUGUUGCUAAGGAAACACUCAAGGAUCGAGUGACCCAACUUCAUGGCAAGGUCGACCAUUUGGGCGGACAAGUCUAGAUAGGAUUUCUACCCAGAUUCUUUUAGUUAUUAUUUUGUCCAUAAUCACAUCCGUUAUUAUAUAUUUCAUCCUAAGCAUUUCUAUUAUUUUAACUGUCUGGUCCGAUCGUUUAGCGGCUUUUUCUAAAAGACGGGAAUGUAAAUAGAAAACAUCGCCUGGGAAAGCCUCACGGCCUGGUGGUCGGCGUAACAAUAAUGACAUUUGUCGAUAUGCCACCGCCUGUUUACUAUUAUCAUCAUAGAUUAUUAAUGCGUGUAUUCUAUUAUCGCAGAAAUAUUCCCCCACGGCACACCCAGAAUAUGGGGCCAGAAAUUACAGAGGAGCAGGAUCCGAAGCGGUGGCUGCUACAAGAAUGGAAUAUUCCAAAGCAUUUGCUUCUGAAAGAAUUUGAACUAAUUGUGCCAUAGUUGAGCGUUUCUGUCCAAUCGCUACAUAGACACAAUAUAAUGUCUCACUCUCAGAGGUGGCCCUUGAGUUCAUUUGCUUUUGGUUUAAUAUGGUAUCAAUAGCAAUAGCUGUUUUUCCAGUUUGUCGGUCCCUGAUUAUAAGUUCUCAUUGACCACGGCCUAUAGGCACAUUCGAUUCUUCCCCUCAUUCCUUUUUUCUUGGGCUUGGCUACAUACCAAGCGUGGAUCCAUAAAAUUCCACAAUUUUUAGAAAGUCGCUACUGUUGGCCCCAUUUAGAAUGAGAUCACAACAGAUUUGAUAGAGCCCAUCAAUUUGCUCAAUCAAGGAUAUGAAUCCACUGAGGCAUCCCUAUCUCUUUCCUCAGAAACGGAAUCUAGGGCCAAGGGGAAUGUAUUAGAUUGAGUCUUUUCAGCUUCUAUCGACUGCCCUUCUCUAUGUUGACUGGGGAAGCCUCUCAAUGUGCAAUCUUACUUUGCUUAGCUAGCCCUAUCUUUAUUAUUUUGGCUAAUAAGCAUGAGGUUGGCCGCCUAAUAAUCCUAGAUCUUCCCAUUUUCAAGAAGAUCUCGGGCUCGAUCUGGAAGUAACGUCCAUUUUUUGGUAAUGGGUAUACUCGAAAAAAAGUUUUGAAUUCGACCUCCCCGGGGUCAUAGACUCCUUUUUUGUUUAGGAUCCCCUUUCUACAUUCAAUUAUUUAUUGAACCUGGUGUGGAAUCACUAUCAUUACACAUUUAUUGUUGCUUUCCUUGAUUCGGGCACAGUGUCUUCGACAAAUCGUUGUCUCAGUAUCUGUCUCAUCUCUGGUCCUGUGGGUUAGUAACCUUAGUCCAGUCAAAGGUAGGAGAUUAACAGCCGAUCCCCCAUCUAUCAUGAUUCUUGUUAUCCCCAAUCCAUUAAGGUAUCCUGAAAUGAACAAAGGCCUGUUAUGCUUAAUGAGUCCUGGUUGCAAGUAAUCGUCCGUAAACGUGAUCAAAGCCAAACACUCGACAUAAGUUGGUUCACUACUUCUCAUCUUAACUUGGUUAACUUCAUUAGAAACUCCUCUGGGUUCGUUAAUGCGUAUACUAGGGACAUCCUUAGUUCUGCAGACACCUUCAAUGCAUCGUAUAGGCGGAGGAGUGCAGGAAUCUUUUUGAGAUGAGCUAAUAUGUCAUAGCGAACAUGUUGUCCAUUGGCCGCUAAUGUUUGACCAGCAAGCAUUCGUGAUCUCCCACGUUGGGUAACUUCAAACCGCUAAUGUUGGAUUUGCAUAUCUUAGCACUCCACAAAAUAAUAUAUGUGGCACAAUAAGUAGAUAAUACUUGAUCGGUGUUAGCAAGAAGGAGGCUUGGUUGCAAGAGGGAGCUCUUUGACAUCGUUAGUGAAGCUAGUACCCUAAGUUAACAGCAUAAAAUCCUCCUCACGGAAUUUCGAUUGCCCUAAGGCAAGUAAGUGAAAUCCGCGUUGGGGAAGGGGAGGAAAGGCUACUAAGGCAAGUGGGGAAGAAAAUCAAUAUAAAAUAGAAAGAAUAGGUAUUGCCUUUCCUAUGAAGAUAUUUGGUUGAGGUUAGAAUUUGGUCAUUCUCUUGAAUUGACUUUGCGCUUUCACGGGCGGAUCUGUCAACCAUAUGUUAAUCGUGCGUGUUCUAAACUAGAAGCCGAAUGUCGACUGCUACCUACCGGUUUGGCGGAAGAAAUCGACAUGGGGUAGGAAGCCGGGUAGGAGCACCCAAUGACAUCCGUUACAUGACCACUUCAUUUAGUCGUAUCUGCCGGUAAAGAUGGAAUGUUUACAAAUAACAGAUGGUCAGACAGCGGUAACUGCACUGUGUGACCGAAGGUUACUGGCCCAAUAUGAAGGAAGAUGUUGAAGAUUAUGUGAGUACCUGUUUUACCUGCCUGUAGGACAAGACUGAGAGAUCUCAUCCUGCAGGUCUACUCGAGCCUCUACCAAUCCUUGAGCGACCGUGGGAAAGUCUUUCUUUCUUUGGAUUUCAUUGUGGGAUUGCCAAAAGUGGGGGAGUAUUGAAGCAUCUUGGUUGUUGUGGAUAGAUUCUCAAAAUAAAUAUGCUACAUUCAUUCCUGCUCUAGCCACUUGUUCAGCAGGCUCCGAAAAUGCUGUGAGAAAGAGGAUCUGUUUGUUUAGGAUAUAACUUUUGGUUCAUGAAGAAGCGACCCCUCCGCAUCAAGACAGUCAAUCACUACUCCUAGAACCGGGGGAAGACUAAAUGGGCGAAAAGAAGGCAUUCCGGGGGCGAGUGAAUCAGGCUCCGUGCCAGUCAAUCUAGUUGCUGGUUGAUCCCCCUCAGGGCGAGUUGCUAUCGCUGCUUCCUCUUUCGUUCAAGCGGCAUGAAGCUCAUCUUCAUUGACUGACUCGGAAAUGAGCCCGUCACUCGAGAAGACAGACUGACUGGCAUCGUACAAUAUAGAAGGCUAAUCCCGCUUUGUUAGCCGCUCCUUCAUCUGUUAUUAUUGUUAGUCAUCUCCUUCACUACCUCAGCUAUUUUAUUAUAAGAAAAGUCAGUCAGCUCUCUAUCAUUUAUAAAAAUAUCACUCUAGGAUGAACUAAUCAACAACCGAACGAGACUGAAUCCAAGCGAGUGAAUGAACGAGUCAAGGGUUUGUAAAGAGCAAAGGACUAUCAAAAACACUACCCGGAAUAGGAGUCUUGGCUUAUGAGUUUGAGUUUGAGCAGGAAGAGGCAUAAUAGCCAUCAACCGGAAGCAGUGCAAAAAUUGGAGGAGAGAUUGUCUCAGCAAGUGAUUGGGAUUGCCGACGAGAAAAGAGUUGCCUGACCGUGAGGAAGGCCCUGGACGAGUGAUUGGUCAAACAUUAGAAAAUGGAAUACUUCCCCAUAUUUUUUAUUAAACUUCUUCUUACCUUAUUUUUUACCACUAUUAGCACAGCUUCGAAAAUCGUUAUCUUUUAUUCGCCUAUACCUAUAUGUGAUAAAAAAAUAAAAAAAAAAUGGAAAACUCGAUCGAAGGGAAGGCAACAAUUCAGAGACGAAGAUAAGGCUUGCCAUUCAAGCCUUAGCCUUUUCAAAAGCAGGGGAUUCUACAGAAAGGGACAACAUUCAAAGAAAGAAUAUUUACUGUUGGAAAUCCAAUGCUUUCCCGAUUCCAUGCUUAUGAUUCAAUUCUUCUUGGAGAAACCAAGUCAUUAGACAAGACCUGCCUGCGGAUUCGAUUCCUCCCCCGGCUUCGGCUUAAUUCAAAUAGUUCACAUCACUUUGUGGUGUGGUAUGCGGCGGAGUUAGUGUACCCGGGAGUUAAGUUUUACCAAGUAUGCGAUUCUGGGUGACGACAUUGUCAUCACAGAUCGAUUGGUAGCGGUACAAUACCGAAAACUCAUUGAACAACUUGGUCUAUCUAUAUCUUUAAAUAAAACCUUAUUGUUUGAGUCAGGUACCUGUGAGUUCGCUAAGCCUUUUAUUCUUAGCUCGGGGGAGAAAGGCGGGAAUUCCCCCUAGUAAGAGUAGUAGUCUUGGGCAGAGAACAGCCCUUUGUUAUCUCGGCAUCUAUUACUAUUCUUUUUAAGUAAAGAAGGUAAAGGCGUUCUUUCGCUUUCCUGGCGUAUGUUGUCUUUUCGGAGCUAGCAGCGAUGAUAGUCAUUAUAUCAUCCCUUAUUCGUUAUCAAUUAUGGAAUUUGAAGAGGAAAAUCCUACUCACGACAGAGCGGAAGACUUGUAGCGAGUAAGGAGAGAGAGAGGAAGAGAGGGUAGGACGUAGUUCCUGGGAUUGCUUUUGUGUGGGAUGGUCAGAUUACUCUGCAACUCGAUUCUACCCCUGUCUUUGCUUUGGAAAGGUUCUUCAAUGUUAGAUUCCCUUUUUCUUUUUGGAAGAUAUGGUUGCUUCCAAGGCCACCUUCCGCUUGUUAAUAGUAGACUAAUGGGAGAGAGCCGUAGAUGAAAGCCUCUUCCUUAGCGGCGUCCUUCUGCUUCCGCUUCUUAUUCUUAAUCUGUAUAGCUGCUUUGGAGUGACAUUAGGCACGUAAGGAUAUGACUGCCAGUCCAGUUUUGGCCAUUUCUAUGUAUCCAGCCCUGAAGAAAGUCGAUAUGUGGAUGAUUUUCAAUCAAAGAGGGAAGAAAUUUAUCUUAGGCCACGGGAACGAGAUAGAAGAAGAGCUGCUUUAACGGCCCGCUAAGGAAGAAGAAAUUGGCUUUCUUCAUUUUAAGAUAAAGAUUGCAUUUCACUUUCACUUUCUAUAUCCAUUUUGAAUGGGUAAAAAAAAAAGCAAGAGCUUAUCAUCACCAGCAGAAAGAGACAGAGACCUUUUCUCUUUCGAAAAGGGACUGAGAUGCACCCUUCGUGCCUCAUACCCCUGAGGAAGGGAAGUUCGUUACUUGCUUGAAAGGAAGCAGUACUCUCGAGUGGGUACCUCUUGAAAAGGGCAGUCAAAAGGAUAGACUGAAUUCAAAUAAGCCUUCACUUUCAAUCCGUUGAAAUGUAUGGGUUAGGAUGACCAGCUUUCGUACAAGAGUUUACCUAGAAAAAACCUGACUGUGAGACCGACUCGGCAAAGAGAGAGGAAAGUCAACCAAGUGUUCAAUCUAUUAAAUAGACUAUUUUUCUUUCAUUAAAGUUUACAGAUAAGUAAGAUAUUGAAAGGGGCAGAACGCUUUCUAAGCUAGAUUUUCUCCUUACGUCCUUCGGGGUGUGGAGAGGAUAAAUCUCCACAUCUUUUGCGAUUGGAAAGUGUAUUGGAAUCAGAUUGAAAAUCUCAGUAGGGCGACUCCUAAUACGAUUCUACCGGGAUCAGGAGAAUCAAAUCACAUAAAAAGAAGAUGAAAUAGCUGCUUAUUCUCUUCUCUUGCAGGGGCUGUCGUUUCGGGAUUAAUAGAUACCUGCAAGACCCCUAUUCUCUAUUUUAUUAGUCUCUUUAUUUCCAACUCUUUUCCACAUCCUUAAUAAGGCACCGAGCUACGAGGCUCAAACAUUGAACACAACUAGACAGCACUAAUGCCGGUGGUGGUAGGAUAGAAAGUAGACCGAGACGACAGAGCGGAAGACUUGUAGCGAGUAAGGAGAGAGAGAGGAAGAGAGGGUAGGACGGAGCGCAGAUGUACAAUAAAAAUGGUCGUCCCGGUACAGGGGCCGCUAAUACCGGCGGCUGAGUCAGGUAUUCUUUUAUGCUUUUGAAUGCAUCUUGGCAUGCUUGGUCUCAGACAAACGCUCCACCCCUUUUUUCAUUAGACGAGAAAAGGGUUGGAACUUGCCUUAUAUAUUGGCGAUAAACCUGAUUAUAUAGGCCAACCGUCCUUGGAUGGAAGCCUCUCAAUUCCUUGAUAUUGGUAGGAGACGGCAUCCCCAGUAUGUAACAGCAACAACAACAAGACUUGUAAGCCUAUUAUGUAAAUUAUGUAUAUCAGUAAAGAUUUUGAGAAAGAAAGGGAAGCAGUUGGGUUGGGAGAACCAGGAUAUGUCGAUUUAGAAUAAGCCGAUGCAUAUGGUAACGAAAGGUGAAUGGAAUAAAAACCUCGAGUUACUGCAGGUACACCACUUUUUGCCUAGGAGUGAUUCCUUCUCGGGGGAACCCUCUUUCUAAGUCGAGUGACUGGAGACUACAUUCUCGCUGUAAAAACUACAUUCUUGCUUAUGGCAUCUUCCCUAUCCGUCGCCUUCACUUGAAGACGAAAGAUCAAAUUCGAUUCAAAGAUCGGAAUCAUACCUCCAGCAGGCAAGGUCGGCUCAAGAAGUGGAAGUUGUGAGAUGGAAAGAAGACCAAAAAAAAAACAGAAUCAGGGAUCAAUCCAUACGCGGCUUACCUUUGACUACGCAUUGUCAGUCCUUUGAGAGACAUAAAGACCUACCGACAAGGUCUCCUUUCCUUUGUCUACUACAUCUUCCCCUUUGGUCUAUCCGCUUUGUCUAGGAGAUGGCAUCGAAAAGGAGAAGGCAAAGGGACUAAGAAAGAGUGUCUCGAGAAGGGGCUUUGAGGGACGACUGAUUGACCUUCGACGCAGGAAGCAUCGAAUUGCAUUAGUGGGAUAGCUUACUUAAAUACUCCCCCAAGCCAAGAAAGCUAGUGCUCAUGAAUGCGCUCCUUACAUGCAUAUUCUAGUACCAGUCCUUACGCCGAGAGAAGACUUCCUCACCGGUGUCCUAUUUUCCGCCGGUUCAGUUUACUUUAGAAAGCUCAUUUCCCCGUUCAUCCAACCGGAAAGUAACAAAAAGCACUUUUUCUACUCCCAUAAAGACCGCGCCCUUCUUUAUCAUCAUCAACCGCCCUCCUCUGUGCUUGGCGACAUUACUCCAUAUCAGUGCCUGUUUGGAUCGCCACCAUAGAUGAAGGAAGGAUUGCAUCGCUUUGACCAGACAAAGCAACCUCGAAUCUCUCAAUCAAAAGCUGUAGAUAGACUGACUAGCCCCACUGGUAGUCCAAUUCCAUCCACUAUCUCCCUCUCUUGAUAAAGAAAAUUUGUAUUUGAGAAAAUUUGAAAAUUGUACAGCGUGGUGGCACCAUCUAUCCAUGAGGAGGAGGUGUAACAGUAGACUACCUCCGCAGUAUGGUCAGUCACUCAUGAAUUCCUUCUCACUCGAAUCACUACUAGAAUAUUUCAUAUAGAAAGAGAAACUUGAGGAAAUUGGAAAUGUUAGAAGGCCUUUUCUUUCCGCUUACUUUAGUAGUGCCUUGCAUCUAUGCUUGGGCAGCAAAAGAAGAGUUAGAGCGGGCGACAGGGGAUUCUCAAAUAGAAGAUGUGCGCCAUGCCAUUUAUUAUUUAAUACUGUAUUAUGCUAGCUCUACUCUUGCUCGUCAGUAGAAGAUAUCCACAGUAAGGGCUAUUCCAAUUUCAAGGAAGGCGGAAAAUCCUUCUCUAUUUUACGAUCUGAUUUCGUCUGUUUAAAAUCGUCUUAAAUCAGACUUUUCCCUCACAGCUCCUUCUGGGCAUCUACGUCUGUCCUCGGCACCUUAAUAGCUUAUUCAAACAAAAAACAAAAGGCAAUGUAAUUGAUUGAGGCAUACUUCUAUGAAAAGGAAUUGAUAGAGGAAAAUGAAUGUGCAAGACAGCUAAUCAACUACUACUUUGCACGGGAACUAAGAGGGCCCAUUUAAAAUGAAAGGAAUAAAAGGUAAUCGCACAAUAUCGGGUAAAUCUCGCAUCAUAACGGGUAUGAGCUCCUGAUUAUAUUGAAUCUUUCUAUCAAUUCUAAGAUAUAGAAACCUCGACCGAAAGCAGCUCUUCCACUCAUCUCAUUAGCAAUCAAACCUCUUCCCUGCAAGAAGGCAGAUGCCUUAUCAUCCCUAUACCCUAUAUUUUACUAUAUCUUAUAACCAUAUGUAUAUCAUAUGAAUAUUAACAUAUUCAAUAUACGCAAUUCUCAGAUCUGUCUUUUCCGGCCGAUUCCAUGCCACUCUAUUUUGGACCCUCUUGCAAGAGCUCGAACUAAGUCUAGUUUAGGUUCAUCCGAGGGUUUGGACGUCACUUCUUCACUUUUCUACUUUUUUUUGGAUGGGUGCUCUCCCUUGAGUGAAGGCAUAAGCCGUAGACAGUCACUAGUUUGAUCGCUAUGCCAUUCUCGGCAACGAUGUUAAAGUGAGGGUAGUCAUGAGGCUAAUUGGUAGUUAUGCUUACAAAAGAUCAAGAAAAAAGCAUUGAAACUUCCACGAUUAAGCCAUAGGGGACUACUUUCAAUACAGAAUUUCCGAAAGAAUCUCAAUUGGAAAACUGUUAUCAAAGCGGGGAUUUUUCCUUGUAAAGGGUCCUCACGUAAGACUUUCAUCUUCAACUUCAUGAUCGGGUGUACUAUAUGGACUAGACGGCCUAUGGGAUAUACUUUCAAGCCGAGGCAUUCCGAACUCAUGGGGCAACUUUUACAUCGAUCGUGAAAGAAGAAGGCUCGAAAAAAGAAAAGAGACUUCAACCCUUAGCUUCUGCUAUGAUGUAACGUGCAGUCGUCCCGAGGCAACAGGAUGUAUGGUGUAGGGCCCCCUAUUUUCUCUCCCUUAAAGUCCUUUAUAGAUUUCGAGUCGGGAAUAGAGCAGUGGCUUAUUCGGUGCUAUAUCACAUCACAAUUCAUUCAUUCUCGGGCAUAGCAGUUCACGAAACGUGGCAUGGGACAUCUGUCGGCGGCGGGAGUCAACCAUCCAAGCGAGAGGUCAGACCAAUAAUCCCAUUCACCCUGGUCCAAUCCGAACGGAUCUUGUUGAAUGAAUUGAUCCAUUGUUGUAUGCCUUACUUCUUAGUGCAUUUUU
rnacentral:lncRNA from 1 species